rnacentral:lncRNA from 1 species
GUACACAUGCUUUUCAAAUAAGAUCUCAUCUCUGAGUGAGAGUAAACUGUCAAGACUUAAAACUUACUUACUUUACCUUCACCAUGGGACUUGUAACUGUCACUUCUGUCUUGAGUAGUUAAAAGAUAGAACAGUCUAGCCAAGUGCCAUGUCUCUUAUUCUUGAUCAGCUAUAGCUCUAGAGUUUUUGCAGAUUUUCAAAUAAAACUCAGAAAUUCCUUGUAUAAUUCUCUUAGGUCUCUCUUUUGUGGUAUUUUUGGAUCCUUACCAAGGCAUUGAUGGUAUAUGCCUUCUCUCAAGAUAUGUAGUAUUUGUGGUAUGAGGCAUAGUGACAUUGCCUUUUCUCUCACCCUACUCUAAUAAGGCUUUAAUAUCUGGAGUUCAUAGGUGGGAGAUAAAGUAUACAUACUUACAAGACAUUUAUUGCAUAGUCAAACCAUGGAUCCAAAGAAACAAAUCAAUAAGCCAAAUCAAGAUGUGCAUGUGUGGCGAAUGAAUGGUGUAUGGUGAUAACAAUGGUGGAAACAAUGGUGGUGGAAGUCUAAUUCUACUUUGCUCUUUUGAGGGGAUACAUACCUUCCUUGCUUUUGAAACUUUAUGAGGAGAAUGAGAUGCUCUAUCUUUUUCUUGUCUGUCAGGUGGGUAUCUUGCACCCCUAAUUCUACUGUCGGACACUUGUCCAUUUUUACCUCUCGUCUCACUUUUUUUUUCUUUCGAGGUUCCGAGCACUUGCUCCUUUUUAUUUCCUCGUAUCUCUUUUUUUUAGAGCACUCAUCUCAUGAGAUAAUAUAGCAAGUGGUAGUAACAAGAUAACUUGAGCAUUUAUUUUACAAAGGGAAAAAUAGAAAUAUUUUUUUUGGUUAUUCUCUCCCGGAUUAGGAGUAGAAUAUUUUUGGGUGAUUCUGGAGAUGGAAAUGGAUGGAUAUAUGUAGAUGGUACUUCCGGAGUAGAAGUAGCAUAUAUGAGUGGACGUGCAAGUGAAAUCUUGAUUUAACCACAUGACAAGCUCCUAAGUGUCAACACAGCUUGACCACACUCAAUGCUCAUAAGCAGUAAAUAAUAAAUGUGUGGCUCAAAGUCUAGCAAGCAUGCAUAUAUGGCUGUGGUAGGAAUUUAAGCUCUCAUCAUACAGGAACACAUCAUGCAACAUUUUAUAGAUUUUCAAAGAUAAAAUUCUCCAGAAUUCUAGCAUCUCUAGGAACAGAUAAACAGCAGCUUAACCUUCCCAUAUCAUAUCCGUUAACAACUUAGACUUCAGAUCAAGUUUUCAUCCCACAAGUUUAGGUCUAGAGCAAGAUUUAAAUUAUAACAGUUAUAUCUAAACUUGAGAGAGAACUUAAAAUUUGCAAAUUAGGCAGAGCAACUAUUUAUCAUAUCCAUGCUUAAGUUUUAUUUAGAUACAGAUUAGCAUAGCCACUUUAUUUAUUUAUUAAACACACUAAGCAAAAGGCAUAUAUAAGCAUAAAAUCUUUAUUUGGUGUUUUCAUAGUUAUUUAUAUUCUAAAAUAAUAUAAGUAUAAAGAUAGAUAGAAAGAAAUACUUAUCGGGAUAAAUGGGGGUGCUCUCCCCCAAGCUGAUUUUUGACGUAAUUUCUCUUGGUGUAGCUAGCAGGUGGCAGAAGUGUAUUUGAAAGUCAGCAGCAUUCUGACAGCGAUUAGGAUGUCCUCCGUCUGCUAGUCUUCUUGAUUCUUAAAUUCUGUGGAGCUCAAAUAGACAACAAAGCUUGUGGAACUGAUUAAGUGUUAGCAUAAAUAUCUAGCCUUUAUCAUGUUGAGACUCCUUAAUAAUUAUUACUCCCUGUUUUUAUAUUUUUGUUUUUAUAAAGCAGAAAAAUUAUUUAUUUUAUUUUUAUGCCACCACAGUGAAUGUACUUAUGGGUUUUAUGCCACUCGUCUAUUCACAUGGGGCUUACAGUUUUUUUCACAUUUUUAUUUUCUUUUUAAGAUAGUAUGAACAUGAUUAACUAAGUAAACUCUUUGAAAUAAUUGAAAGGGAAAGGAUAACUACCAAGUUUACCUCUUGGCAAGGCGUUCGGUGUUUUUAAGUCCUCCGAACGGGACUCUCCAUUUUCUUAAUCGUCCUGAGGUUCGUUGGGUGGCGUAGUCGGUACUUCCGGCAGCGCCUCCUCUUCUUGUAUAGUUAUCUUCAUUUUCCAUACCUGACUCGGUGCUUCAAUCUCCUCUGGAUAAUUCUGUUUAAACUCUAUGUCUUCUGACCUUACAACUUCUCCUUCAUAGUCUGCCCAUCCGUCCUUGAUGAUCUGCCUCCUCUGGUUGCGGUUGCGUCGCUUUCUUACCUACUUAGAUUCUUCAAUGAUAUAGUUAGGGUCAGUAAAAUAACGGCGUACCUUCUCUGAGGGGAAGUGCAUAUGGACUUCUCCGGCUCCAAUGUAGAUAAUUGCUUUAACGGUGCUGAGGAACGGUCUUCCAAGGAUGACGGGUGGAUCAUACUCGUCUUCUCCCAUGUCAACAACUUGAAAGUCUGUGUAGACAAAGUGAUCGUCUAUUUUGACUGGGACAUCAGUUACUGUUCCUUUGACUUCUCGGAAUGUCUGAUCUGCCAUCUGGAGCUGAAUGUAUGUUGGUCUUAGUGGCAUGGUUCCGAACAAGAGCUGAUAGGUGACUGCGGCCAUUAUGUUGACGCCUGAUCCGGUGUCGCAAAUCGUCUUGUAGAAGUUGUAUCCAUUUAUGGAGCAGUAGAUGCUUGGCAUUCCUGGGUCGUCCUUCUUGGUCAAAAACGGUGACUUAAGUUGAUGAUCUUGGCCUCCAUGAACUACAGUGACCAUCUUAGCUGACUCGGUCCACACUUGCUUGUUCCUGUUUCUCCUGUUGGUCCUCUUCCUUGAUUCACGUCUGGAUUGAUCUUGAAUUUGUGUAGUCUUGUUCUUGAAGAAAAAUGUCUCCUUCUUCCCUUUGACGUAGAAACUGAUCUUGGCAGCACUAGCACGUGGUGUUUAAGAAUGGCCUCCCUAGGAUGAUAGGUGCUCUCUCAUCAUUUCCGGUCUCUACCACUACGAAGUCUGCUGGGGCAUAUAAGGUACCAACUCGGACACAAAGAUUCCUCACUAUUCCUUUUGGAAAAGUUAUCGUCUGAUCUGCAAACUGCAAACACAUUGUUGUCUCUAAUAAAGGAUAUGUAAAGAAUUUCUCAUAAAGUACCCUGGGUAUAAUGUUGACGCUAGAGCCAAAGUCACAUAGUGCUUCUGGGAAGUCCACCAUGCCGAUGGAGAUCGGGAUGACGGGGCGUCCUGGAUCGCCUCUCUUGACCGGCAGACGGUCAGUAGAAAAUUCAGUGAUGGGGUUACUCCAAUUACCUGCAUGAAACACGUCCACAAGAUUUGCAGAUUCUAAUCCUUCCGGUUGUGAUGGUAUACCGGGGUUAGUAGUAGGAACAACAGCAGCUAUUUGAUUUAACUGAGAUUCAAUCAUUUUAUUAAGGCUAAUUUGAUUCUUGAUGGCAGUAGAAAAAUUAUCCAUUCUAUUAUUUAUAUUUUCUAGCAUUUUAUCAUUAGAUGCCAAUUUCUUAGAUAGGUUAUCCAUUAGCUUUCCUUGAUUAGACACUAACUCUCUCAAAGGUGGAAAAUUACUAUUGUUGUUAUAAGAAUUGUUACCUUGAUAAUUACCUGAGUAGUUAGGCCUCUGUUGAUUCCAACCUUGAUUUUGUUGAGGACGGUUGUAGUAGUAGUAGUAGUUGUUGUUGAUGUAGUUCACAUCCUCAAGUAUCUCAGGGCAGUGGUUGCCUGAGUGUCCAGUGUCUCCACACUCCUCACAAGUCAUGUGAGAGUCAUAGAUGUGCAUAACUUCUUUCUUGUCUCCAGCUCUAUCAUCGAGCUUCUUCAUGAGCAGGUCUAGCUUUGCAGACAACAUGUCUACCUCCUUCAGCUGAUGCAUACCUCCACCUCUCUUGCGUGUCUGGGUCCUCUCUUCAUUCCAGCUUUGGUUGGACGCCAUCUUCUCCACAAGAGCUGUGGCUUGUGGUAUAGUAAGUGAUAAGAAUGCUCCUCCAGCUGCAGCAUCCAUGGUUUCUCGGGUACUGUUGCUGAGCCCAUGAUAAAACGUCUGCAUCAAUAGCCAACUCUCCAUUCCAUGAUGGGGACAUUCUAGGAUGUAGUCUUGAAAGCGCUCCCAUGCUUCUGGAACAGAUUCAUCAUUUUGUUGCUGAAAACUUGUAAUCUUCCCACGGAGAGCAUUGGUCUUGCCCAUGUUAAAGAACUUUGCCAGGAAGUUUGUUGAGCAGAGUGCCCACGUAGUAUUCUUCUCCUUUGUAGCGUAGAACCACUGCUUCGCUCUUCCUAACAGUGAGAAUGGGAAGAGGCGAAGUAGUAUAGCGUCUUUGGAAACUCCUGCUAUGGUGAAUGUGUUGCAAAUCUCCACGAAGUGUUGUAAAUGAGCACUAGCAUCUUCGUGUGCCUUCCCACAGAACUGGUUAGAUUGCACCAUGUUGAUAAGUCCAGGCUUGAGCUCAAAGUUGCCAUCGAUCUCUGCAGCAGGUCCAGUGCGGAUAUUGUCCGUAGUGGGAGCUGAGAACUCGCGGAUCGAUUUGUUCGCCAUGGCUUCGAACUCUGAAGACAAGUUCCGGUGAUCUUCUUGAUUGGAUGAAGCUUCUUCGUGAAGUGUUGAUGAUUUCUUUAGCUUGGCUCUCGUCUUCUUGAAUAAUGCUUCGGGAUUGUCAACAAAAUUUCCUGGAAGAUGUCUUCUAUUCAUACAUUCCCCUGCAUAAGAUAAAAUAGAAAAAUAUCGGGGUAAAACUGUAUGAGAGAAUAGAUAAGCUCAAUCAUAUUAGUGAUGCGAAUGAUAACUCAAAAUAUUUUAUUCUAUUCCUGAUUAGUAAUCAACCUUCCCCGGCAACGGUGCCAAAAAUGCUUGUUGGGUAUUCUUAACAUCAUUACUAAAAGUAGACUAAGUUCUAAAUCUAGCAACGGUGCCAAAAAUGCCAAACCUAUCCCUCACACCACUUAAGCCAAGUUGUCAUCCCCAGCAUGACAUGAGAGACGCGGUAUUGAAAUAUGCAAUUGCUCUUCUAAAUAAAUAAUGAAUGGGAUCUGCAAGCGCACAGAUUAAUACCGAUGCAGCAUUUUAACCGGGAAGUAUUCCAGGUAUCGUUAUUUAUAUUUUUACCACUGGGAAGGGAUUAGAAAUCAUCACUAAUGAUUACAGAAUAGAAUAUGAGAUUGAGCAUCUAUCAUUGCAUGUAUAAUUGAGAACAUUAUAUCUAACUCUUCAUACAGGGAUAAGUGUCACAUAAAAGAUAUAUGAAAUAAUAAUAGUGACAAGGAUAACUAAUCUGAUCUAGCCACAUAAUAAAUAUGAUAAGCACCUCAAUUAGAUACUCUAGAAAGUCAUUAGCAUGGUAUUAGAACGAACUACAAGAAUAUUCCCUAAAUUAUUCUCAACUAUAUAGUCUAGCAUUAUCAUAGUUAGUGCAAGCAUACUUAGCAAUCAUUGCGAGACAAGACUACGCCCAUGCAUAGUGAUAUUAGCAAGGAAUAUGAGAAACAUAGCAAUCACUCCCCUGUAAUAAUGUUGCUCUGCCAGCCCAAUACACGAGAGGGGGACUAUAUAAGAAUCAAUGAAGCUGUCACUAUCACGAACCACCCCACGAUCUGCAUAUUGGGUACAAUCGCAGAUAAAUACGGUAUAAGCACCACACCUACACAAUAUCUAUCAUUUACCCAUGGAUCUGAUGGAUAAACGCUAUACGAUCCUAAGCAUGUAUAUAGAUCGUAUCUAACUAAGCCAAGUACAUAACUAUGAUAAACUAAGAACAAUAUAAUCUUGAAUAUAAGCAAGUAGAGCAAAGUCAUAAGCAAUAUACUGAAGUAGAACAAAGUCAUAUUCAUAAUAUUGAAGAACAAAGAUAAUUAGAAAACAAUUAGAAGCACAAUUAGAGAAUUACCAAGAAUCCUCCUGACAGAUCCGGAAACCAAUCGAAGAUUGACUCCUUCUAGUUCUAAUCCUAUGUAGCUAUGCUAAUCUAGAUGUCUAAUUGAUGUGGUGGCUCUAAUCUUGAUCAGAGGCUUCUUCUCCCUUGAUGAAACAAUGAAUUAGGGUUGAGAGGCUCCCUCCUCCAGGGGCCAGGGGGUCUGAUUUUAUAGUCCCUUCAAGUGAAUAUGGGCCCUUGGAUCAAACCGACAUAGAUUGUAUGGUUUAGAUUCAUCCUUUAGGUCGGUGGAGACUUCCCGCAAAGCAGAGUCCUGUUUGGACUCCAACAGGGGGCGGGCGCCCAGUAGGACAGGGCGGGCGCCCUGCCUCUGGCCCCGUUUCGCCUCCGCUUCGGUCUCGUGGCUUCUGGAGUCUUCUAGAUGUAAGAUAAUUGCGCAGCACGUUAAUAUCUUUACGUAAUCCUGACAUGUGGGCCUUUCUUCCGUAUUUCCUGAUAACCCCCUGCAGAAAUAGACAAACACCAAAACUCGUGGAAUUCUGUCAGAUAAAACCCUAAGUCUAGAUCUUGAUUUCAUUUGGAUCCUUUUCUUUAUUUAUUUGAUAAUUAAAUUUGAUACUUAAGGACCGUCAACAACAGUCAUGGGACUUCAAGUUCAGGAAUUUCUUCUCUGGCACAUUAAUUAUUCCCUUGAUAUUGGAGGAGAAUCCAGAUGGGACGUUGAUGCUGCUAAGACAUUCAAAUAUGCUUUCCUUCGCUUCUUUGCUCAGAGUGUAGCUAGCAGGGCUUAAGUAAUGACGUCCAUCAUCUGUCUUUUCUGGAUGCAGGUUGUCUCAUUCUUUCAUGCGCUGCAAGUCUUGUCGUGCUUCAAGUGAAUCCUUAGACUUCCUGUAGAUACCCAUGAAUCCGAGCAAGUUCACACAAAGAUUCUUUGUCAGAUGCAUCACGUCGAUCGCGUUGCGGACCUCUAGGACAUUCCAGUAAGGUAGCUCCCAAAAUAUGGAUUUCUUCUUCCGCAUGGGUACGUGUCCCUUAGCAUCCUUGGGAAUAGGUUUGCUGCCUCGUCCCUUUCAAAAUACCACUUUUAUAUCCUUGACCAUUUCGAGUACAUCAUCCCCGGUUCGAUUGAGAGGUUUGGUCCGGUGGUCUGCCUUGCCUUUAAAAUGCUUGCCUUUCUUUCGUACUGGGUGGUUCACAGGAAGAAACCGACGGUGGCCAAGGUACAUGACCUUUUGACAUUUUUUCAAAAAUACACAGUCAAGGUCUUCAUAACAAUGUGUGCAUGCAUUAUAUCCCUUGUUUGACUGGCCUAAAAGAUUACUCAGAGCUGGCCAAUCACUGAUUGUUACAAACAGCAAUGCUCGCAGGUCAAAGUGCUCUUGUUUGUACUCAUCCCACAUGCGAACUCCUGGUUUGCUCAAUAAAAGUUGAAGUUCCUCAACUAAUGGCCUUAGGUAGACAUCUAUGUCAUUGCCAGGUUGCUUCGGUCCUUGGAUAAGCACCGGCAUCAUAAUAAACUUCCGCUUCAUGCAUAGCCAUGGAGGAAGGUUGUAGAUACAUAGAGUAACUGGCCAAGUGCUGUGACUACUGCUCUGCUCACCGAAAGGAUUCAUACCAUCUGUACUUAAGGCGAACCGCAAGUUUCUAGCAUCAUCUGCAAAAUCUAGGAAUUCUCUGUCUAUCGCUCUCCACUGGGAUCCAUCGGCAGGGUGUCUCAGCAUAUUGUCUAUCUUACGGUCUUCUUUAUGCCACCGCAACAACUUUGCAUUGUCCUUAUUUCUGAACAGAUGUCUUAAUCGUGGUAUGAUAGGAGCAUACCACAUAACCUUUGCAGGAAUUUUCUUCCUAUGACGUUCUUCACCGUCAACAUCGCCAAGAUCAUCUCGUCUAAUCUUAUACCGUGAUGCCUUACAUACUGGACAUGCAUCCAAAUUCUCGUAUUCCUCCCCACGGUAGAGGAUGCAGUCAUUAGGACAUGCGUGUAUCUUCUAGAUUUCUAAUCCCAAAGGGCAGACAACCUGUUUUGCUUCAUACGUAGUGGUGGGUAAUUCGUUGCCUUUCGGAAGCAUCUUUUUUAUGAUCUUCAAUAACUGCCUAACUGCCUUGUCAGAUGUACCAUUCUUUGCCUUCCAUUGCAGCAAUUCCAGUGUGGUACCCAGCUUUUUUUGCCCCUCUUCAGCGGUGGGAUAUAGCGAUUUCCUGUGGUCCUCUAGCAUGCGCUCGAACUUGGCUUUCUCUUUAUCACUUUCACAUUCUCUUUGUGCAUCACGGAUGGCAUCACCAAAAGCAUCAUCACCCCGAUGAUCUUCUGCCGCUACCUCUUCUUCAUUAUCUCCCCCCAUUGCAACAUCAUUGAAGCCACCGUACUGAGCAAUAAUAUUGGCAUGGUCCAAUUCUUCUUCUUCUUCUUCUUCACUUUCAUCCAUUAUAAUCCCGCUUUCUCCAUGUUUGGUCCAACAAAUAUAGUUUGGUACGAAACCAGACUUUAAUAAGUGCGAAUGAAGAGUUCUUGAGUUAGAAUAUUCUGUCAAAUUCUUGCACACAGCACAUGGACAGCACAUGAAACCGUCCCUCUUAUUUGUCUCGGCCACACUUAAGAAAUAGUGCACGCCAUUAGUGAACUCUUCGGAGCGCUGAUCGGCAUUAUACAUCCAAUUACGUGUUACCAUCUGCAUUAAAUAUAACAUAUAUAUUAUGAAAACCAUGCACACAUAUAGUUUCUCAUCUUAUUGCACAACAUGUCUAAGAUACAUAGUUGAUUAAUUCAGGAAAGCUUGGCUACAACAAAUACAAUCGCAACUAGCACUAAAAAAACCAAAACUAAAAUGCACUUAGCAACAUAAUUAGUUCAUGUCCGAUCCAAACUAUAAUAGAUAGAUCAUUAGCUUGAUCAACAUCAUUGAACUUCUUUCGUCGGCUCACUGCCUCACCACCUUCAGCCUCAACCACCUAUGCAAAAGAUUUCUUAAUAUGUUCAAUGUAUUCUUCCUCCCAGUACCAACCUGUACAUCCGCCGGUACCGUCCCACUAAAAUUAAAAGAGAGAAUCAAAAGUUUAAUUAAUAUCAUUUUAAAAAAUAUGCACAUAUAUAAGCAAAUGUCUGGAAAUAAAUCACAUUACGAUCCGGACACUUGUAGAAUAUACGACCCUUGUUUACUCCCUCUUUCGACACUUUGUACUCCAUCGCAGUCUUCUGCCUACACUUGCCACAAGUAAUGAGAGGGAGUUCCUGUCACAGAACCGACCAAAUUAUAGGAGUUCAAGUGUAGAAACGAUCGACAAGCAAUCAAGUUUCCAAACUUAAGCCCAUAUAAUCCCGUUAGUCAACUGAAAUCAUGAAGGACUUCAAACCAACUUGUAACAAACCAAGAUCGUAAUAGUUCAACACAAUACAGUGAAUGUUACAUAGUCAUUCAUUGCCGUCGAAGCGGCACCACAUCGAAGUUACUUAGUUAUUACAACCCAUGUUUGAAGUAGCGGAAGCAAAAUAAUUACACACACUUUCCAAAGUUCAUUUCACAAGUUCUAGUUCAGCCAGGGUCUCAUGCCAUCCAUCCAAAAGCAGCAGAUACGAAGUAGUUAGAGAACCGUGCCCAACGGUUAGUCCUCAUCCCCAGCGGGAUGGAGACAGGUCUUGCAGAAGCCAUCAUAAAAGAUAUCAUCUGCAACAGGUGGGAAUAAACCCUGACUACGGGAUUGUACUCAGCUAGACUUACCCGUCUAGUAAAACAUAAAAGACACCAAGGAUCAUGCAAGGCUAAUAUCAAGUGGAGCUGGUUGACUCAACAAUUGCAAAAUGCUUAAAUUAUAACUACAAUGUUGUGAGAGCAUCAUAUUAAUCAUCAUAAGCCUACCACUAGAUUAGCACCUGUACUACAACACUUCACUUGAUUAUUACAAACAAUAAUAACCAUAUCAAAUUCAUCAUAUGUUCUUCCUUGCUAUCAUCAUUAUCAUGAACCAAGUUUAUUAGUGAAUGCUACGUUUGCCGCUGCUCUGUCAAGUUCCCACUAACCGGGAGAGACGGCGAUUCGAAUCGAAUUCCUAUCCAGCUGGAGGGGUAUUCCUAGCACUCACCCAACCAUCCCCCGUCGGAGAGCCAACGGGUCACCUUUGGUACGACUCAGGAAUCGCGGCUCCGAUCAGCGCUGCAGUCCCAGGGCUACCACUCUGCCAGGGAGGUCAGGAAUUUUAACUCACCUGCCUUUGGGCUUUCGCCAAUGGUCCCCCGCACACCGCACUUCCUCCGGUAGUGCGCACUUUAUACUUGCCGGUCUUCCGGCCUGAGUCAUACUACUAGGCUUCGUGGUCGGAACGAGUUAUCCGGCCAACUAAGUGUUAGGCAUGCGUUCAACAUGACAAGAGGACGUACAACGGUCGGUCCUUAGCUGCCACAGACGGAGUUACUACAACCUUGCAAAACUCCGCCCGGCUUAAGUCCAUUUAAUCAGGUUCCAUCCAUGAUAGCACAUAUAGUCCAUCGUAACCAACAUAACCCUAUAUCGCGCAGGUGACAGGAAAUCACACGACUUCUACCGAUUAAAGCAUGACUAAGCUGCUAUUCGUUCCUAACUCUAUAACCAGGUAGUGGUAAGAUAUCUGGACAAGGAUUGAGUAAAAUGCAGCAAAGGUUUCAUCACAACUCCUAUACUUAAAUGCAUCAAUAGAUAUAACAUAUUCAAGUAAACUUUCGAAAGUAAAGGGAGACUUAGGAUGCUCUGGGGCUUGCAUUUCACAAACGAGGCCGAUUCAUAGUUCGGGCACUCAAUCUCCUCUUCGGGCUCCUCGAGUCCGACUUGCUGGACCUCCACCUCCGGGUUGCCCUCCUGGCCUUCGGGGUUCACUUGAAGCUCGAAGGAGGCGGUCGCGUCCGAUGCACCUAUUGCAUGCUCGAUGAAUAAGAAGGUGUGCAUACUAAAGUAUGAAUGCUUGAUAACAUAAUUAGACUCACUGGACACUCAUUUACGGAAUAACUGCUAUAACAAGUUCACACAAGAUGAUAAGUUAACUUAGCCAAAACCUACCAAGUUACUACAACAGCAAGCAUCACAUAACAGAAUUAGCUCAGUAAACAGGUCAUAACUAAUGUUAGACAGAUCCAACAGCCAUGAGUGAGGACAUUCCGGAAAGCUUAUGAAAUUGUCUACAAACCAUCUUUAAACAUCACAGCAAGAUUCAUAAGUUAAAGAAGCCUUAUAAACAAAAUUCCAGGUUCUGUCCCAGAAAAACAGAGAAUACCUAUUUCUGGAACCCAACUUGGAACAGCCAUAGCUUCAAAACUACUGGACCAAAUGAUCCCAAAUUUAAACCACAGCUAGCCCAUAAAGUUUACAACAACUUUGAUUUAGACAAGUUUCCCAGAAAACCAAGUUAUCAACGAGCAAGGAUUGAAUUACUCCCUUGCUGUCCAGAACAGCUUUUAACCCCUUUAAUUAAUUAUUUGAUGACGUAGCCAAAACAUAAUCAGUAUCAAUCACAUGGCUUAUAAGCACAAGCAUAUCAUAAGACCACCAGAACAACAUAUGUUAACUCCAAAAAACUUAAUAAUAAGACAUUUAUUAAUUUAAUUCUAUAAAGGAGCAUGAUUACAAGAUACUAGUAAAAGUGCUCAGAAAAAUCUACAAAAAUUACAGAAGCACAAGCAUAGCAUCAUGACAUCACCAUAACAAUUUCAGAGCAAUUGCACAUGCCAAACUUAAAAUAAACAUUUAACAUGUCACAAGGUGUUUAUUUCAUAAAUUCAGAAACAUGGCUUAUAUGGUGUCAAACAACAGAUUUCAGAUUAUUUACAUACUAAUAUUAUCAUAAGGAAGUGUGACACCAAAGUAGAGCACCAGCAUAAGCAUUAAUUAUUUACUAUGAUUUUAAUAAGAAAACAAACCAUAUCUCAAUCAUAAAUUUCAUAUCACAGAUGCAGUACUCCAAAAAUCAUGAAAUAUUUAUCAUAGCAUUCUAACCCCACACAGAGGAUACAAUAAAAAUUUCAUGGCAAAAGGAGGAGUAUAACAAAAGAUAUGAAUUUACUCAUGAAUAACAAGAUUAAAUCCUAAUAAAUAUUUUUCCCAGAAAACAUGGUCCAUUUUAUAUUUUUAUUAAAAACUAACCAUCUCAAGGAACACCACAAAAUUGGUUUCACAAUUUUUGGAUCUCAGAAACAAAAGAUAUGAUUUUUGCAAGAAAGCCAAAAAUCUGGAUUUGAAUAAAAGAAAGGAGACCGUUGAGUCAUUGACAACGGGUCCCGCGCGUCAGCGACACAGAGAACAGAGGACACCUUCGUCGGCGAAUGCUCGCCGACGGUGAGCUUCUCCGGCGGAUCCAAGGGCACCAGCGUGCUCCUGGAGUGAUUCCGCAUCGAUGGAGGUAAGUGGCGCUAGGGUUUCAGCUACGGAGAGGGGUCGUCGUCGGCCAUGGCGGCACGGCGGAGCUACCCCGGCUUACGCCGGCCAUCUCCGACCGGUAGAGCGUCUGGGAAGGGCGGCUUAAGCACCAGUGAGUUAGCGCGGAGCUUUCUAGGUAGAAACGCCUAACCCUAACGGGCUCCGGUGAGCAUGCUCACGUGCGAGGUGCUCGUCGGCGGUGAGCACGGCGGUGCGGCAGCCGUGUUCCCGCACGACGGUGAUGCCUCAGCCGGAAUGGCAUGGCGUGGACCGACGCCAAGACCUAAGCAGACCCUAAUGUGACUCAGAGGGAAGAAAGGAGGCGAGAGCGAAGCAGCGGCGAGGUUCGUCGGAAUCGGGGUCACGACGGCCGUGAACCCGACGACGACGAACUCGCGAAAUGUCGCUCACCUCGGGGAGAUCUCGUCCAACCGAGGGGUGGAGAAGAUGGAGGAGCUCGAGGUGGACUUGGAGGCGAGGCAAGACGCAGAGGCGAGGGCGCGAGGAGCUCGCGAAGCUCUCAGCGGCAAUGGUGACGGCGUUUUCGCCCGACGGAGCGCGAGAGAGAGGAAGGAAGAGAGUGGACGGGCGCUGAGUGAGUGUGGGGCGUCGUGGCGUCCAUGACGACGCCGACGGCCUGACGGGCAGGGCCAACGCCGGCGUACGGGCACCAACUGGCGGACAGAUGUCGCGCUGGGCGUCCACGACGGCGAGCUCGGCUCUGAAUCAGACCACACGAUCACCGACUGACAAAGCAACUUCGACGACGAUUAACUUCCAAACCAAAGCGAGUUAGGAGAUGAUGUAGUUGACAAAGUUGGAGUACUAGCUGAGUUCUACAACAUUGUUAACUAGAGCAAGAGCUAGAUUGGCCUGGUUUGAAAGAUAUGAAGUUUUUAAAAUCGAUCAAGCAAACUGUAGCGUCCCCAGACUUAGAAAAUUUUUCGAAGUGUUGGAAACAGCGCCAAUUCUGCCUUGUGAUUCACUUUUGAGCUAGAUGUGAUCAUUUUCAUGAGAUGGCCAUAAAACAACUUUUGUGCCUUAUAAAAUUUGCCACAACUUUUCUGUAGAAAGUUUUGACAUGCAAACAUUUUAUGAAACACUUUUUAAAAGCCUAAACAAAAGAGGUUCCUAGGGCCUAUUUGUGUAAGUAUGACUUAAGUGAUUAUUUUGGAGAAAUGAUCAACAUGAACAUUGUUCCUAAGGUUGAGUCAAGCAUAGAUAAACUAAUUACCAAGGCAUAGAGCACAAACACAAGCAUGGUACACACCAACACAAGGCUAGGAAGCCUAUUUAGACAAUUUAAAUCACAUUUUGCAUAAAAUGACAUGGCUCAAGGUAGAUGAUUAUCAUGAUAUGCUUGAAUGAAUGAUGAUGCUCAUGUUAUGCAUGUGAUUUAUGCAACCAUAACACUGGGGUGUUACAGCCCUCCUCCCUUACAAAAAUCUCGUCCCGAGAUUUGAAAGCUUACUGAUUUUCGAAGAAUAUUUUGUAGACUUCUUUUAAAUAAUCCUCCGUUUCCCAAGUGGCAUCUUCCUCCCCGUGGUUACUCCACAACACCUUGUAGAACUUAACCACCCGAUUACGAGUCACCCGUUCCUUGCGGUCAAGAACCGCUAUAGGUUUUUCUUCAUACACCAAGUCAGAUUUCAACUUGAUAUCCCGAACUUCCACUCGUUCCUCCGGAACACGAAGGCACUUCUUUAAUUGCAAUACAUGGAAGACAGGAAAAAUAGCUCAAAGCUCAACUGGUAGUUGAACUUUGUACGCCACUUCCCCUUUCCUUUCAAGAAUCUGAUAGGGUCCCACAUAACGAGGUGCAAGCUUUCGCUUGACUACGAACCUUUGUACGCCCUUCAUCGGAGACACCUUGAUAUACACAUGGUCACCGACUGCAAACUCAAUCGGCUUCCUUCUCUUGUCAGCAUAACUUUUCUGACGAGCUUGAGCAGCUUCCAGAUGUUGCUGGAUGGUAUGGACUUGCUGCUCUGCUUCGUUCACGAAAUCGAUGCCAUAAUACCUUCGCUCCCCGGAUUCUACCCAGUUCAACGGGGUUCGAUACUUUCGACCAUAUAGGGCUUCAAAUGGAGCCAUCUUGAUACUCUCCUGAUAACUAUUGUUGUAGGAGAACUCAGCUAAUGGAAACCACUUAACCCAAGAACCUUUUGAAGAGAGAGCACAUGCCCUCAACAUGUCUUCUAGGAUUUGGUUAACCCGUUCAGUCUGACCUGCCGUUUGGGGAUGAUAUGCCGAACUACGGACUAAGUGAGUACCAAUCUGCUCAUGUAGACACUCCCAAACACGGGCAGUGAACUGUGGUCCACGAUCUGAUAUGAUAGUUCGAGGCACACCAUACUGACGGACAAUGUGCUCGAAGUACAACUCCGCAUAUUGAUGUGGACGAUAGUCAGUUCAAACUAGAAUAAAACGAGCAACCUUGGUCAAACGAUCUAUAAUCACCCAGAUGGAGUUGUAACCCUUGGCAGAAGUUGGGAGUCCAACGAUGAAAUCCAUACUGACUUCUUCCCAUUUCCAACCAGGAAUUGACAAGGGUUGAAGCAAACCAGCUUUCAUGUGAAUGGUCUUCACGUGACAACAAUUGUCACAACGAGCGACAAAAGCAGCAAUCUCCUUUUUCAUCUUUGUCCACCAAAACAGAGGUUUCAGAUCCUGAUACAUCUUGCUACUAUCAGGAUGAAUAGACAACUUGGAUGAAUGAGCUUCAGAUAAGAUCUGGUUUCGCAGCUCACGGUCUUUUGGGACCACUAGUCGAUCUUUGAACCAAAGAACUCUCAUCGACCCAGAAAUGCUUGGUUUCUUCUUCUUUCAUUUUCCUCUUUAUAUGGUGGAUGCCUACAUCUGUUUGCUGCAAUUCGAUGACUCAAUUGCGAAGAGUACUCUCUAGAGAAAUCUGGUUGAGCACAAGUGGAUGCAUAAGAUGUGACAACAAUGGGUCUUCCACCUGAACUGAGUGACAGUGCGCUUUCCGACUCGAGGCAUCCGCAACCACGUUUGCCUUGCCCGGAUGAUAGUGCACUUGUAGAUUAUAAUCUUUAAUCAACUCAAGCCACCUUCGCUGCCGCAUGCUCAAUUUAGGUUGAGUGAAGAUGUACUUGAGGCUCUUAUGAUAAGUGUAGAUAUUGCACAGAUUACCCAGCAAAUAUUGCCUCCAGAUUUUCAAAGCAUGAACAACUGCUGCCAAUUCUAAGUCAUGAGUAGGGUAAUUGACCUCAUGCUUUCGAAGUUGGCGCAAGGCAUACGCGAUAACGCGACCUUCCUACAUCAACACGCAGCCUAGACCAAUGCCCGACGCGUCACAGAAGACAUCGAAGGGCUUCUCGAUAUCAGGUUGAGCUAGGACAGGAGCUGAUGUCAGCAAUGUCCUCAACUUGUGGAAUGCCUCUUCACACUCAGGCGUCCACACAAACUUCUCAUCUUUUUGAAGUAGGCGAGUCAUAGGCUUGGAUAUCUUUGAAAAUUCUGGAAUAAAUCGACGAUAAUACCCAGCCAAACCGAGAAAACACCGAACCUCGUGCACCAAAAUUGGAACUUUCCAAUCCAGCACUUCUUGCACCUUAGCCGGAUCCACCGAUAUGCCUUCUUCAGAUAAGACAUGGCCCAAGAAAGGUAUUUUCUUUAGCCAAAACUCGCAUUUGCUGAACUUGGCAUAAAGCUGAUGCUCACUCAAAUGCGAUAACACCACACGUAAAUGCUCUGCAUGCUCCUCUUCGUUGCAAGAAUAUACUAAGAUAUAAUCAAUGAAGAUCACCACAAACUUGUCCAAUUCGGGCAUGAAUACCGAGUUCAUGAGGUACAUGAAGUGAGCAGGUGCAUUCGUAAGACCGAAGGACAUGACGAGAUACUCAUACAACCCAUACCCCGUCGAGAAAGCUGUCUUAGGUACAUCUUCAGGACGGAUCUUGAUCUGAUGGUACCCAGAUCGCAAAUCGAUCUUGGAGAUUACCUUAGCUUUAGACAAUUAAUCAAACAAGAUAUCAAUGCGAGGAAGAGGGUAUUUAUUCUUGAUGGUCACCGCAUUCAGGGGACGAUAGUCCACACACAUGCGCAAGGACUGAUCCUUCUUCUUCACAAAGAUAGCCGGACAACCCCAAGGAGAAGAACUAGGACAGAUAAGACCCUUCUUCAACAACUCAUUUAACUGGGUCUUAAGCUCAGCUAGCUCAUUUGGUGGCAUUCUAUAAGGUCUUCUAGAGAUAGGAGCGGUACCUGGAAUCAACUCAAUUUUGAACUCCACAUCCCGAUCUGGAGGAAGCCCGGGUAAAUCAUCAGGAAAUACAUCCGGGAACUCACACACCACCAGAAUAUCCUGGAUGGCCUUAGCUGUAACUGUAUUCACAGUGCUACGGAUAUGGAUAUCUCGAGGAAGUUGCACUAAGAAUGCCUCCUUGGUAUUUGGGUCCCUCAACGUCACUACAUGAGUGGUGGUGUCGAUAAGAACUCCGUUACCACUCAUCCAUUUCAUACCCAGAAUUACAUCUAUACCCACACCGGGUAAAACAACCAGAUCAGCAAGAAAUUGACGGUCUCCAAUUUCCAGAGUUGCCCCAAAAACCACUUGAUUGGUUGAAAUAUCAUUCCCAGCAGCACUAAUGCAAUAACUACCCUUAUCAAGCAUAAUUGCCUUGAGAUUAUGCUUAGACACAAAGUCUGAACUCACAAAAGAAUGCGAUGCUCCUGAAUCAAAAAGCACAAGUGCAUCACAUUGGUUAACCAGAAACUUACCAGCCGUAACUACCUCACCAGUAGGGAUUGCCUCCACAGUUGUAUAGUGAACACGCCCCUGGCGGACGUUCCCUUGGUUGACCUUCUUUGGCGGGUAAGGACAAUUGCUCUGCCAGUGCCCGGUCUGAUUACAGUUCCAACACGGACGGUUGGCAGGUGGAGUCUUGGCAUAGCUGGGACCCGUGUUGCCCCUAGGAAGAGCAAUGUAGUAACCCUUGCAGAAACCCGUCUUUGCCUGAUUCUUCUUCACAGGAGGGUGAUACCGCUGGUUAGGAGUUGGAGCACGGAUCGGUGGCCUAGCUGCCACUAGAGCCUUGGAUUGAGAUGCCCGUGCCCCGGCCUCAAAAGCCCUCUUACGAGUCUUGGUCGCAGUGUACACAGUGUUAUAGUUCUCUUGAGUAAGGGCAUCACUGGCAAACUCAUUGAAAGUUGCACACUUAGUGCGGCCCAUAGUCUUCAACAACUUGGGGCCAAGACCCCGCUUGAAGCUAGCAAUCUUCUUGGUCUCAGUGUUCACAAACUCAGGAGCAUACCUUGACAGGUGAUUGAAAGCAUGCAAGUACUCCUUUAGAGUUUUGUUGCCCUGAGUCAACUGCAUAAACUCGGUAUGCUUCAUCUCCAUGACACCAGGAGGUAUGAAAUGCCCCUUGAAAGCUUCACGGAAGAGAUUCCAGUCAAGCACAAUGUCGGCUGGAAGGGCUUCCCGAUACUGAUUCCACUAGAUGCCUGUUGGUCCUUGCAGUUGAUGAGCUGCAUACUCAGCCUUCAAACCCUCGGUCAGCCGAAGCAAGCGGAACUUUUGUUCCACCGUGUUGAGCCAUUCCUCAGCUUGGAGGGGUUCUUCAGCCUCCCUGAAAAGUGGGGGUUUAGAAUCCAUGAAAUCCUUGAAACUGCUGUACUGAUUAGGAGCUGGCCCUUCAUGUGCAUUACGACCACCCUGAUUUGCCAUCCGAUUGAUGGUCUCAGUGAGCAUCCUCUGAUUUUCCUCCAUCAUUUGGAUCAGCUCAGCUGGAUUUGGUGGUGGAGGAGGAGGGGUGGGUUCAUGUUCGCACGCUGUUCCGCACCUCGAGUGCCACGAGACAUCUGUAAAGAUACAGUCAGUGAGCAUUGAUGAUGACAAGACUUGCUGUAGAAGAACUUAUAUUUAUGCCUGAAAGUAUUCGAGAGAAUAGCUUUACAGAAAAAGGCACAAUAACUCAAUUCCACAAAACACCACCACCAAUCCAACACAUGACAUAGAUAUCCGCAAUAUUAACAGAUCGAACAUGUUAAGGUUACACAUUGGGUCCAUAAAGUUAUUACACCAUCACAGUACAUGACAUAAGGCAAAGAUCAAGGUUCCGGAUUACAUCAUGAUUACAAAAGCACCACUGCUGACUAUCAAACUACAAAAGAUCCCCACAUAACAACUACCCGCAACCCACUACACUCUAGGCUCGUCGCUCGAGUCAGCGUCGAAGAUUGCCUCUCCAUCCUCGUCGCUAACGGGCUCAAGCUCCUCGUCCUCCACGUCCUCGUGCAAGGGUGGUGCAGCCGCUGCUGGUCCAUCUACCUCCAUACCAUCAUCAUCGGCCACAAUCACCUGAGGUCCCACCUCUGGAUACACGGGUAUAGGGCGAGCGAUAGGGUGUCGCAAGUUGUUGAGAUGGUGAAUCUCCACAAGACCAGCCUCAAUCUGAUCCUGCAGAUAGUUCUCCCACUCAAGCGACUGAAUCCGGUGCAUCUCCCAAGCCCGGCGCCUGUUCUCCGACACACGGAGUGCAGUGUCCCUCUCACGAGUGACCUGCACCAAGCGCUCCUGCACUGUCUCCCUCUCUUGAGCUAACUGACUCAUCUGAUCCUGCUUAUGAUCUCUUUCCCUAAUGGCCUUCACCCACUGCUGCCUACGGUACUCCGCAAUGCCUUCCCAAUCAUUGCGGUCCUUCUGAGCUUGCUCCAGGAGCCUAGCUUGCUUGCGAAACUUGCGAGCACGCUUUUCAGCCUUCUGUUGCAUCUCCUGAGCCUGGCGAACAGCCACCAUCACUUUGCAUAAGUGUCCUCUGUUGAUAUUUGGUAACGCAAUUAGAAAAUGAUCCGCAAGCGCACGGAUAUCGGUGAGCAUUUCACCCGGGAGGUUUUCCAGAGUAUCGUAUUUAUAUUUUUACCACUGGGAGAAAGGGUGCAUCUGACUAACCAAAUCUAUUGCUACUACCCCUUUAGGCUACAAAGAAUGUCUCUCGAUGUGAGUGAUGUAUAGAGAAGACUGCAACCGUAGUCUCAUUCUAACCUUGGUAAGGAUGAUCUACUGUUCUAUUGGGGAGGCUCACGGAAUCUAGACAACACAAAGGAUGUUCGAACCGCACCUAUAAACCCUACCCGUCCUGCUAACAAGAUAUGGGAUACAAAGGUAACUCGAAAAUGUCACGUUCCUCGCUACUACCACGGUCCAGCUAGUCAGGGGAUAUCUAUGAGUACCCUAGCCUAAACACCACGUUUACACCAGCAAUGAUUACUCUAAUACUCAACCGGAAGAGGAUUAAAGUAAACUCAUAAACUAAAAAACAAUAAAACAAGAACUUACUAGUAUUAGAAGUCGAAUUACUGAAGAAUCUUAGAAGCAAGCCUUGGGUUAGAAGACUCGAUCCCGUAGGUACAACUUGGAGUAGACACCGAUAGGCCGGCCUUCCUCCGAUCCACACCUCCACUCAAUCUCUCUCAAUCUAGUAGAAACUAGAAGAUCUAUUUCUACUUUACAUUGGUUGCUAAGCCUAAAAAGAAAUAUUAUUUAGAGAAGAGGUUUUCCUUCGAGGGCACCCCUCAAUCUCUAUGAUAAUUUCUUGUCUUCUCCAGGGACCAGGGGGGUCUCCUUAUAUAGUCCUCCUCCUCUAUGCAUUUUUGGUUCAGCAGGCGAUGUGGUACUAAACUUUCCACCAUAUCUCAUUAAAAUACACAUAGGCCUUCUUGGACCAAAAUCUGAUUUGGGCCCAAUUAAUCCCGCAGCUCUUUUAUGUGGAGUACUUCUUUUAUUAAUAUCUCUUGAUUCCGAACUCCAAAUAUAGCAAAUAAUAUAUGCAUUUCGAUCAGCUCGGCGAGAUCUUUGUAAUGGUAUAUUCCAUUCUGUGAUUGGUGGAAACACCUGGGCGGGCGCCCAAGGGGAAAGGGCGGGCGCCCUGCCCCCGGGCCCGUUCGGCCUCCCGUUCGUUCCCGUGGUUUCUGGACUCCUCUAAAUAAUAGAAAAUUGUGCGGCACGUUAAUAUCUCUAUGUAAACCCGACAUGUGGGCCUUUCUUCCUUAUUUCCUGAUAACCCCAUGCAGAAAUAGACAAACACCAAAACUCGUGGAAUUCUGUCAGAUAAAACCCUACGUCUAGAUGUUGAUUUCAUUUGGAUCCUUUUCUUUGUUUAUUUGAUAAUUAAAUUUAAUACUUAAGGACCAUCAACAAACUCCCCCAAGCUUACCUCUUGCUCGUCCCUAAGCAAGGAUGAACUCAAGAGUUUCUGCAGUGGUUUCAUGCCUUAAAAGGACACACGCAUUCAAGCAAGAUCACAUCUCUGAGUUAGAAUAAACUGUUAAGACUUAAAACUUACUCAUUUUACCUUUCACCAUGGGGCUUGUAACCGUAACUUGUGUCUUGAGCAGUUAAAAGAUAGAACGGUCAAGUCAACCGCUAUGUCUCUUAUUCUUGAUCAGCUAUAGCUCUGGGGUUUUUUGCAGAUUUUCAAAUAAAACUCUGAGAUUCCUUAUAUGACUCUCUCAGAUCUCUCUUUUGUGGUAUUUCUGGAUCCUUACGAAGGCAGUAAUGGUAUAUGCCUUCUCUCAAAGUAUGUGGUAUUUGUGGUAUGAGGCAUAGUGAUAUUGUCUUCUCUCUCACCCUACUCUAAUAAGGUUCUGAUAUCUGGAGCUCAUAGGUGGGAGGCAGCUAAUGAAUGGUGUAUGGUGAUGAUGGUGAUACUGAUGGUGGAAGUCUAAUUCUACUUUUUCUCUUUUAAGGGGAUACAUACCUUUCUUGCACUUUGAAGCUUUUUGGGGAGAAUGAGAUGCUCUAUAUUUUACUUUUCUUUCCUCUCAGGUGGGUAUCUUGUACCCCUAAUUCUACUGUCGGACACUUGUCCAUUUUUACCUCUCGUCUCACUUUUUCUUUUCUUCGAGGUUCCGGGCACUUGCCCCUUUUUAUUUCCUCGUAUAUAUUUUUUUUUCUUUUUUUUAGAGCACUUAUCUCCUUAAAUAAUAUAGCAAGUGGUAGUAACCAAGAUAACUCGAGCAUUUAUUUCACAGGGAAUAACAGGGAUAGGAUAAUAUUUUUGGCUAUUCUCUCCCAGAUUAGGAGUAGAAUAAUUUUGGGUGAAUCUGGAGAUGGAAAUGAGUGGAUAUAUGUGGAUGGUACUUCCGGAGUAGAAGUAGCAUGUAUGAGUGAACGUGCAAGUGAAUCUUGAUUUUAACCACAUGACAAGCUCCUAAGGGUCUACACAGUAAAAAGUAAAUAUGUGGCUCAAAGUCUAGCAAGCAUGUAUAUAUGGCUGUGGUAGGAAUUUAAACUCUCAUCAUAUAGGAACUCAUCAUGUGUUAUUUUAAAGAUUUUUCAAAGAUAAAAUUCUCCAGAAUUCUAGCAUCUCUAGGAACAGAUAAACAGCAGCUCAACCUUCCCAUAUCAUAUCCGUUAACGACUUAGACUUUUAGAUCAAGUACUCUUCCCACGAGUUUAGAUUUAGAGCAGGUUUAAAUUAUAACAGUCAUGCCUAAACUUGAGAGAGAUUUCAAUUUUAAGAACUAGUCAUGGCAGAGCAUCUAUUCAUCAUUUCCAUGUGAGAGUUUAUCAUGAGGGUUCAUAGCAAACUUUAUUUAUUUAUUUAUUUAGCAAACUAAGCAAAGAUAUAUAUAUAUAAAAGCAGAAAAUCUUUAUUUGGGUUUUCAUGAUUAUGCAUCUUUUAUUAUUUGAGUAAAGUAUAAACGCGAGUAGAAAUACUUAGCUGGAUAAAUGGGGGUGCUCUCCCACAAGCUGGAUUUUGACGUAAUUUCUUCUGAUGUAGCUAGCAGGUGAUGGAGGUGUAUUUGAAAGUCGGCAGCACCCUGACAGUGAUUAGGAUGUCCUCCGUCUGCUAGUCUUCUUUGAUCCUUGAAUUCUAUGGAGCUCAAAUAGACAACAAAGCUUUAUGGAACUAGUUAAUUGUUAGCAUAAAUAUCUAGCCUUUAUCAUGUUGAGCCUCCUCAAUAAAUGUUAUUUAUUUAGCAGGAUCAUGCACUUAUUAUUUUUAUAUUUUUAUUGUAAGAUGAAAACUUAUUUAUUUUAUUUGUUUAUGCCACCACAGUGAAUGUACUUAUGGGUUUUAUGCCAUGAGCAUACUCAUAUGGGGCUUACUAUUUUUUUAUUUUCUUUUCGAGAUGAUAUGAACCUGAUUAACUAAGCAAACUAUAAUUGAAUAAUUAAAAGGAAAAGGAUAACUACCAAGUUUACCUCUUGGCAAGGCGUUCGGUGUUUUUAAGUCCUCCGAACGGGACUUCUUGUGUUUUCAGUCGUCCUGGGAUUCGCUAGGUGGUGUAGUCGGUGGUUCCGGCGGCGCCUCCUCUUCGUGUGUAACUAUCUUCUCUCUCCACACCUGACUCGGUGCUACAGUCUCCUCAGGACAGUUCUGUUCAAGCUAUAUGUCUUCAGACCUUAUCACUUCUCCUUCGUAGUCUACCCAUCCGUUCUUGAUGAUUUGCCUCCUCUAGUUACGGUUGUGUUAUCUUCUUCUUGUCCUGACCUGUUUAGAGUCUUCAACUAUAUAGUUAGGGUCAGUAAAAUAGCUGCGUACCUUCUCAGAGGGGAAGUGUAUGUGGACUUCUCCGGUUCCAAUAUAGAUGAUGGCUUUGAUAGUGUUGAGGAAUGGUCUUCCAAGGAUGAUGGGUGGAUCGUACUCGUCUUCUCCCAUAUCAAUGACAUGAAAAUCAUCUGGAGCUGAAUAUAUUGGUUGUAGGGGCAUGGUUCCAUGCAGGAGCUGAUAAGUGACUGCGGCCAUUAUGUUGUCGUCAGAUUUGGUGUUGUAGAGUGUCUUCUAAAAAAGUAUCUGUUGAUUGUGCACUCAAUGCUUGGAACACCAGGGUCGUCCUUCUUGAUCAAGAAAGGUGACUUGAGUCGACGAUCUUGACCUCCUUGAGCUGCAGUGACCAUCUUAGCUGACUCGGUCCACAUUUGCUUGUUCAUGUUCCUCCUGUUGGUCCUCUUCCUCGGUUCAUGUCGGGAUUGCUCUGAAAUUUGUGUAGUCUUGUUCUUGAAGGAAAGUCUCCUUCUCCCCCUUGAUGUAGAAACGGAUCUUGGCAGCAUUAGCGUAGAUGAUAGCUCUAGUGUUUAGGAAUGGCCUCCCUAAGAUGAUGGGUGCCCUCUCCUCAGUACCAGUCUCUAUCACCACGAAGUUUGCUGGAGCGUACAAGGUACCAACUCGGACACAAAGGUUCUUCAAUAUUUCCUUUGGGAAACUAAGUGUCUGAUCUCCAUUGUGUUUGUGCUCGUAGUUCCCGGUUCUUCACUUGGUGGAAUCUGGGAGUUGUAAAACUCCUCCAGGUUUUGUUUGAAGUGUACCUAUUCAUAGAGACAAGGCAGAGAUCAAGUGCAUGGGCCCUGUUGGUGAAAAACACCAACAGAACCAAAAGUGUAUUUGUUCUUUUCUAACCUUAAGCAUAGUGAGCAAGACAAAGUUGAUGGAUCAUAAGUGUAGCAUUUAAAACAUUAGUUAGAUCAGAUGGCUCAACCUAAUGGAAAGAUAAUCUAUCUAUAUUUAUGUUUUGUUUAUAUCUUCCAAAGAUUGAAUGCGCAACGUUUUAGCUUAUAUGAUUAGGAGUGUGGGAUCACGACGGUAGUACGUAAGAACAAAGAUUAAAGGACUAAACAUGUUGAAUUAAUUGGGUUGAUUAAUUUGGAGCUACAAAUCAUACAUGUUUGUCUCUUUAUUUUAUAUGAAUGCCAGAACCAAGGAGAAACUUAUAAAAGCGAUAGUCAAGUACCUUAUGAUAUUACCUUAAUUGAAGAGUGAUGGUAUAGUAUCACCUUGUGGAAGCUUUCCUUUCUUAGCGGUUGUGCAUCGUGUUUGUGGCACCCUCCAUGGAUCAUCUCUUUAUGAUGAAUGAGCUAUGUCUUUCUUGUGCAAAUUGUUAAACUUCAUGUGUCUCCUUUAUCUCCAAUGAGUUUGUAUCUCCGGACUUCCCAGGUUGAUAUUGAAAGUUUUCCUGCAGGGGUUAGUCCAACAAAAUAUACGAAUGUCUACACAAGUAGUUUUUAGUUCAAUAACUGAACUAGACUCCAUGUCUAAUCAGACUAAGGAAGGCUGUUUAACCUAAGCACCAUGCUUAAUUUAAAAGCCAAUAGAAGUAUGUGUAGUACUUCCAAACUAACACUUACUAGAAUAUACAAAGGUAGCGUGAUGGUAUUUGUAGAGAUCUACUCAAGUGGAGAUGAAGUAGUGUGAUUAGUAUUUAACAAAUUGAGCAUGUCUCAAAGGUAAGGACAACCAACAUAGCAACAUGACAAAUGAUGUUUUUAUGUAAAGUAUUUCCCCCAAGCUUGAAUUUUGGAAAAUUCAAGUUUGGAUGAAUUUAAUUCAAUGUUGUGUGAUGGUUGGUUGGACAUACCUUGUGCUCGUCAUUCAUCUGAUCUUCUUGCUCCAAUCUUGGAAAGGUUAGUGGCAAGAAUACCCGAAGGAAUAUUUCUACAAUUAUCUUUAUAUGCUCAAUACACAAGGCAAUGUUGCAAAUAAUUAGAAGUUCAUGUUACGAUCUGAUAAGUGCUUGUUUAAGGACGCUAAGCUUUGGGAAACCAUCAAUUUAUGUAAGUGAAGUGGUUUCCCCUCCAACGCUGACCUAUAUCGAGAUCUGCAAUAUUUAUUAUAGACAUAUGCAUCGACAACCGCUCUUUUAAAGUUUUUAUAAAUAUAAAGGAGGAGGGGGUUGGAGAUCUCAAAUGUGGUAAGGAUGGAGAGACCAAUUGAUUGGGGAGAUGUUUUAUAUGAGCAAGGACUUGGUAAGGUAUUUAUGAAAUAACUUCCAUGCUCACUGUUGUUUCUCUCAUUCUCAAACUCCAAGGAUGAUUCUUCAUGAAUGCUUAAAAUUCCUCUAGGGUUGUCUCUCAAGUUUGUUUUAUCUAUCCAUUCAAUGGUGAUAGCACAUGGAUUUUUAAUGCCCUCUAGCCAUUGAUGUUGCUCUUCUCGAUCCUCCUUAUGCAUGGGAUGUCUAGAGAGAUUCAUAGGAUUAUCGGGAGGUUCAAGAGAAAGAGCAUAGUAGAAACUAUUAAGCUCAAGGAUGGGAUGGAUAGCCGAAUCAUGGGAUUGAAAUGUUUGGAAAUUGGCUAUUGAAACUUCCUUUCCACGUCUGGGAGAUGAUUCCUUCUCUAUCUCUAAGAUUUUUCUAUGAAGACUAGUACAAGAAGGAUGUCCACGAAUGAAGACAUACCUUCCUUUACUAAUAGAUAAAGAAAGAAGAACUCUACCAAAGGUUAUAUGAUUAAGACCAAUGUGAAAAUAUCGAGAAAAAACAUGGUCUUGUAGGGCUAGGUCUAAACCAGAAUUUAUAGAAAGAUUAAAAGAUUCCCUAGGUGUAGCUAAAAGUGCAUUAUCUUCUUGAUUAAAAGAUAGGACCUCGGCUAUAGAAAAGGGUUGGUUUUGACCUAUUGCAAUCAACUUCGGACACAGAUCAUAAUUAGGGGCAGGACGUGUUGACUCCCAUGGUCUAUGGCUGGUCUCCGAAGGUGCAAAGAAUUUAAUAAUAGGUAUGGAAUUUGAGUUAUCCAUAAAGAUAAAAAUAAAAAGAUAAAAGAAUAAAAGUAUAAAAGUAUAAUACAAGAUAAUAGCAAGACUCAAAGUUAUCUCAGCAAACCGUCUUUCUCCCCGGCAACGGCGCCAGAAAUGCUUGUUGAUAUUUGGUAACGCAAUUAGAAAAUGAUCCGCAAGCGCACGGAUAUCGGUGAGCAUUUCACCCGGGAGGUUUUCCAGAGUAUCGUAUUUAUAUUUUUACCACUGGGAGAAAGGGUGCAUCUGACUAACCAAAUCUAUUGCUACUACCCCUUUAGGCUACAAAGAAUGUCUCUCGAUGUGAGUGAUGUAUAGAGAAGACUGCAACCGUAGUCUCGUUCUAACCUUGGUAAGGAUGAUCUACUGUUCUAUUGGGGAGGCUCACGGAAUCUAGACAACACAAAGGAUGUUCGACCCGCACCUAUAAACCCUACCCGUCCUGCUAACAAGAUAUGGGAUACAAAGGUAACUCGGAAAUGUCACGUUCCUCGCUACUACCACGGUCCAACUAGUCAGGGGAUAUCUAUGAGUACCCUAGCCUAAACACCACGUUUACGCCAGCAAUGAUUACUCUAAUACUCAACCGGAAGAGGAUUAAAGUAAACUCAUAAACCAAAGAACAAUAAAACAAGAACUUACUAGUAUUAGAAGUCGAAUUACUGAAGAAUCUUAGAAGCAAGCCUUGGGUUAGAAGACUUGAUCCCGUAGGUACAACUCGGAGUAGACACCGAUAGGCCGGCCUUCCUCCGAUCCACACCUCCACUCUAUCUCUCUCAAUCUAGUAGAAACUGGAAGAUCUAUUUCUACUUUACAUUGGUUGCUAAGCCUUAAAAGAAAUAUUAUUUAGAGAAGAGGUUUUCCUUCGAGGGCACCCCUCAAUCUCUAUGAUAAUUUCUUGUCUUCUCCAGGUACCAGAGGGGUCUCCUUAUAUAGUCCUCCUCCUCUAUGCAUUUUUGGUUCAGCAGGCGAUGUGGUACUAAACUUUCCACCAUAUCUCAUUAAAAUACACAUAGGCCUUCAUGGACCAAAAUCUGAUUUGGGCCCAAUUAAUCCCGCAGCUCUUUUAUGUGGAGUCCUUCUUUUAUUAAUAUCUCUUGAUUCCGAACACCAAAUAUAGCAAAUAAUAUAUGCAUUUCGAUCAGCUCGACGAGAUCUUUGUAAUGGUGUAUUCCAUUCUGUGAUUGGUGGAAACACCUGGGCGGGCGUCCAAGGGGAAAGGGCGGGCGCCCUGCCCCCGGGCCCGUUCGGCCUCCUGUUCGUUCCCGUGGUUUCUGGACUCUUCUAAAUAAUAGAAAAUUGUGCGGCACGUUAAUAUCUCUAUGUAAACCCGACAUGUGGGCCUUUCUUCCUUAUUUCCUGAUAACCCCCUGCAGAAAUAGAUAAACACCAAAACUCGUGGAAUUCUGUCAGAUAAAACCCUAAGUCUAGAUGUUGAUUUCAUUUGGAUCCUUUUCUUUGUUUAUUUGAUAAUUAAAUUUAAUACUUAAGGACCGUCAACAUCCUCUCGCUGACUGAACAGCUUGAGCACAGCCACCAUAGCACUCAUAGCAGGACUAGAACUCACAGCUCGCUCUCCCCUGCCCCGGACCAACGCACAACCAUCAGCCUGCUUCCACUCCGCUGCUGCUAGAUCAGCACGGGGAAUGGAGGCCGCUGGUCCUCCUGUCAGCUCAUCGCCAAACCUCUGACAGAUAUUGAGCAGCAUAGCCUGGGCUGCAAUCUGAGCUGCUUCCCAAGGAGUCUGCCCAUCUGAGUUACAGGUCCACCCUGUCCAUGCAGGCCUGCCCCCAUGUGGUGGGACAACUCCCUGCACAGCAAACCACUGCAACUCUCCGAUCAAUCCACCUCCCACCAAGAAUACUGAGGUGGCUCAGUAUACCUCACAGACUGUAGCACUCUCCAUAGCAAGGUAGGAGUGCCAAACUCGCUCAAGAAAGUGUCACUAGGGCGAGGUGAAGCGGGCAUGUCCAUCUGUGGAAAGGAAUAGGAAUACCAUGGGUAAGAGAAGAUUAAUUUAAGCAACAUUUAUUUAAUUAAAAGGGACGACAUGGUAAGGUAAGGAGUAGACAGAAUGUAUGUAUGAAUGCGACAUGAUGCAUGCACGAACUGUACGUCCUCACAAACAUAGAAAAUUAAUAUUCUAACGGAUAUACGGUGGCAUACAUUCGUCUCUCGAUAUGAUAACUAGCGAAUUACACGUGCGCUGUUAGAGUACCUGCAGAAAACUUCAUUGCAGCCCAACAGUUCCCAAUGUAUCACUCAAGAAAGCAGUAAACUAAGUGCACAUUGCUUGUACAUGCUCAACAUGCACCAACAAUGACACCACAGCUACCCGAGAAAUUAAAUGCUCCCCAAUUAAGUUUCUUUCAUGGUUCCAUGGUUUUGACAUGUAACCACUCCAGAAAACCACCGCGAACACUCCCCUAGACUACUGUUUGGACGAUCAUACUCUCACAGCUCACACUUACCAGAGCGUAGGUGCGACGUUGCAUAAUUUAAAUCUAGCGACAUAUGUGGCUAGUUCACAUAUGAAGGCUAUCUCUACCAUUAGACCACAGGGUAGCAUAGUGCGGUCAUCACACAUCCAUACCUGAGUACUGCCGGAGAUGCAUAAAUAAAACCCCCCAAGUCAGUACUUAAAUAGCCACCUAUAGUCCUUAUAUGGGCAAGGAGGAUUCGACCACUGGCAUAUCUUAAGUAUUUGAUUUACACCAUUUUGUUUUGAAACUCUUUUGUUUUUAAAUACACAAACGCUGCAUUUAUAAUGCUGAACUUGCUCCGAUGCCAGCUGUCACAGAACUGACCAAAUUAUAAGAGUUCAAGUGUAGAAACGAUCGACAAGCAAUCAAGUUUCCAAACUUGAGCCCAUAUAAUCCCGGUAGUCAACUGAAAUCACGAAGGACUUCAAACCAACUUGUAACAAACCAAGAUCGUAAUAGUUCAACACAACACAGCGAAUGUUACAUAGUCAUUCAUUGCCGUCGAAGCGGCACCACAUCGGAGUUACUUAGUUAUUACAACCCAUGUUUGAAGGAGCGGAAGCAAAAUAAUUACACACACUGUCCAAAGUUCAUUUCACAAGUUCUAGUUCAUCCAGGGUCUCAUGCCAUCCAUCCAAAAGCAGCAGAUACGAAGUAGUUAGAGAACCGUGCCCAACGGUUAGUCCUCAUCCCCAGCGGGAUGGAGACAGGUCUUGCAGAAGCCAUCAUAACAGAUAUCAUCUGCAACAGGUGGGAAUAAACCCUGAGUACGGGAUUGUACUCAGCUAGACUUACCCGUCUAGUAAAACAUAAAAGGCACCAAGGAUCAUGCAAGGCUAAUAUCAAGUGGAGCUGGUUGACUCAACCAUUGCAAAAAGCUUAAAUUAUAACUACAAUGUUGUGAGAGCAUCAUAUUAAUCAUCAUCAGCCUACCACUAGAUUAGCACCUGUACUACAGCACUUCACUUGAUUAUUACGAACAAUAAUAACCAUAUCGAAUUCAUCAUAUGUUCUUCCUUGCUAUCAUCAUUAUCAUGAACCAAGCUUAUUAGUGAAUGCUACGUUUGCCGCUGCUCUAUCAAGUUCUCACUAACCGGGAGAGAGGGCAAUUCGAAUCGAAUUCCUAUCCAGCUGGAGGGGUAUUCCUAGCACUCACCCAACCAUCCCCCGUCGGAGAGCCAAUGGGUCACCUUUGGUACGACUCAGGAAUCGCGGCUCCGAUCAGCGCCGCACUCCUAGGGCUACCACUAAGCCAGGGAGGUCAGGAAUUUUAACUCACCUGCCUUUGGGCUUACGCCAAUGGUCCCCCGCACACCGCACUUCCUCCGGUAGUGCGCACUUUAUACUUGCCGGUCUUCCGGCCUGAGUCAUACUACUAGGCUUCGCGGUCGGAACGAGUUAUCCGGCCAACUAAGUGUUAGGCAUGCGUUCAACAUAUCAAGAGGACGUACAACGGUCAGUCCUUAGCUGCCACAGACGGAGUUACUAUAACCUUGCAAAACUUCGCCCGGCUUAAGUCCAUUUAAUCUGGUUCCAUCCAUGAUAGCACAUAUAGUCCAUCGUAACCAACAUAACCCUAUAUCGCGCAGGUGACAGGAAAUCACCCGACUUCUACCGAUUAAAGCAUGACUAAGCUGCUACUCGUUCCUAACUCUAUAACCAGGUAGUGGUAAGAUAUCUGGACAAGGAUUGAGUAAAAUGCAGCAAAGGUUUCAUCACAACUCUUAUACUUAAAUGCAUCAAUAGAUAUAACAUAUUCAAGUAAACUUUCGAAAGUAAAGGGAGACUUAGGAUGCUCCGGGGCUUGCCUUUCAGAAACGAGGCUGGUUCGUGGUUCGGGCACUCAAUGUCCUCUUCAGGCUCCUCGAGUCCGACUUGCUGGACCUCCACCUCUGGGUUGCCCUCCUGGCCUUCGGGGUUCACUUGAAGCUCGAAGGAGGCGGUCGCGUCCGAUGCACCUAUUGCAUGCUCGAUGAAUAAGAAGGUGUGCAUACUAAAGAAUGAAUGCUUGAUAACAUAAUUAGACUCACUGGACACUUAUUUAUGGAAUAACUAUUAUAACAAGUUCACACAAGAUGAUAAGUUAACUUAGCCAAAACCUACCAAGUUACUACAACAGCAAGCAUCACAUAACAGAAUUAGCUCAGUAAACAAGUCAUAACUAAUGUUAGACAGAUCCAACAGCCAUGAGUGAGGACAUUCCGGAAAGCUUAUGAAAUUUUCUGCAAACCAUCUUUAAACAUCACAGCAAGAUUCAUAAGUUAAACAAGCCUUAUGAACAAAGUUCCAGGUUCUGUCCCAUAAAAACAGAGAAUACCUAUUUCUGGAACCCAACUUGGAACAGCCAUAGCUUCAAAACUACUGGACCAAAUGAUCCCAAAUUUAAACCACAGCUAGCCCAUAAAGUUUACAACAACUUUGAUUUAGACAAGUUUCCCAGAAAACCAAAUUAUCAACGAGCAAGGAUUGAAUUACUCCCUUGCUGUCCAGAACAGCUUUUAACCCCUUUAAUUAAUUAUUUGAUGACAUAGCCAAAACAUAAUCAGUAUCAACCACAUGGCUGAUAAGCACAAGCAUAUCAUAAGACCACCAGCACAACAUAUGUUAACUCCAAAACACUUAAUAAUAAGGCAUUUAUUAAUUUAAUUCUAUAAAGGAGCAUGAUUACAAGAUACUAGUAAAAGUGCUCAGAAAAAUUUACAAAAAUUACAGAAGCACAAGCAUAGCAUCAUGACAUCACCAUAUUUGGAUCUCAGAAACAGAAGAUAUGAGUUUUGCAAGAAAGCCAAAAAUCUAGAUUUGAAGAAAAGAAAGGAGGAGACCGUUGAGUCACUGACAACGGGUCCCGCGCGUCAACGACACAGAGAACAGAGAGGACACCUUCACCGGCGAAUGCUCGCCGACGGUGAGCUACUCCGGCAGAUCCAAGGGCACCAGCAUGCUCCUGGAGUGAUUCCGCAUCGAUGGAGGUAAGUGGCGCUAGGGUUUCAGCUACGGAGAGGGGUCGUCGUCGGCCAUGGCGGCACGGCGGAGCUACCCCGGCUUACGCCGGCCAUCUCCGACCGGUAGGGCGUCGGGGAAGGGCGGCUUAAGCACUAGUGAGUUAGCGCGGAGCUUUCUAGGUAGAAACGCCUAACCCAAACGGCUCCGGUGAGCCUGCUCACGUGCGAGGUGCUCGUCGGCGGUGAGCACGGCGGUGCGGCGGCCGUGUUCCCGCAUGACGGUGAUGCCUCAGCCGGAAUGGCGUGGCGUGGACCGACGCCAAGACCUAAGCAGACCCUAACGCGACUCAGAGGGAAGAAAGGAGGCGAGAGCGAAGUAGUGGCGAGGUUCGCCAGAAUUGGGGUCGCGACGGCCGUGAACCCGACGACGACGAACUCGCGAAAUGUCGCUCACCUCGGGAAGAUCUCGUCCAACCGAGGGGUGGAGAAGAUGGAGGAGCUCGAGGCAGACUUGGAGGCGCUCGGAGGCGAGGCAAGACGCAGAGGCGAGGGCGCGAGGAGCUCGCGAAGCUCUCGGCGGCAAUGGCGACGGCGUUUUCGACCGACGGAGCGAGAGAGAGGAAGGAAGAGAGUGGACGGGCGCUGAGUGAGUACGGGGCGUCGUGGCGUCCAUGACGACUCCGACGGCCUGACGGGCGGAGCCAACGCCGGCGUACGGACGCCGGCGUACGGACAGAUGUCGCGCUGGGCGUCCACGACGGCGAGCUCGGCUCUGAAUCAGACCACGCGAUCACCGACUGACAGAGCAACUUCGACGACGAUUAACUUCCAAACCAGAGCGAGUUAGAAGAUGAUGUAGUUGACAAAGUUGGAGUAAUAGCUGAGUUCUACAACAUUGUCAACUAGAGCAAGAGCUAGAUUGGCCUGGUUUGAAAGAUAUGAAGUUUUCAAAAUCGAUCAAGCAAACUGUAGCGUCGCCAGACUUAGAAAAUUUUUUCGAAGUGUUGGAAACAGCCCCAAUUCUGCCUUGUGAGUCACUUUUGAGCUAGAUGUGAUCACUUUCAUGAGAUGGCUGUAAAACAACUUUUGUUCCUUAUAAAAUUUGCCACAACUUUUCUGUAGAAAGUUUUGACAUGCAAACAUUUUAUGAAACACUUUUUAAAAGCCUAAGCAAAAGAGGUUCCUAGGGCCUAUUUGUGUAAGUAUGACUUAAGUGAUUAUUUUGGAGAAAUGGUCAACAUGAACAUUUUUCCUAAGGUUGAGUUAAUCAUAGAUAAACUAAUUACCAAGGCAUAGAGCACAAACACAAGCAUGGUACACACCAACACAAGCCUAGGAAGCCUAUUUAGACAAUUUAAAUCACAUUUUGCAUAAAAUGACAUGGCUCAAGGUAGAUGAUGAUCAUGAUAUGCUUGAAUGAAUGAUGAUGCUCAUGUUAUGCAUGUGAUUUAUGCAACCAUAACACUGGGGUGUUACAGUUCCGGCCGGUAUCGCUUUUGAACAAUUAUAAAUUCCACAUUUACUACUAAACAUGUAUGAUACAAUGGACAUUAUGUAGUAAUAAAAAUAAAUCAAGUGAUAUUAAAAAACCAAUUAAUUUGAACUAUCCUACUUUCUAAGAUCAUAAAAAGAUACUAUAAUUCAUUCUUACAAACUACAUUAAUACUAGGUCAACCAUGAAAUAUGAUAUAUAUAUAUAUGGAUACUAAUUCAUGUGAAUGAUUCAAAAUAACAAAGUGGAUUUGAGCUAAAAAUAAUGGGACCAUCACAAGCCAAAAACAACAUGAAAAAGACAAGAAAGACAAAAGUUAGUCACCUCCGAACACGAAGAAAUGAUGACGGAGUCGAAGAAGAUCAACGAUGGGCAUCGGAGAUGAAGAACAAAUGAACAACAAGGAAGAAGAAGCUCCAAGAACAACAAUGGUGAAUGGUGCUCUCGGUUUCAAAUGGGCAGAGAGGAUCCGGCCUAUAAAGUGGACCAUUAGCACCGGUUCAGGGCUAAAACCGGUGCUUAAGGGUGACCCUUUAGCACCGGUUUGUACCACAAACCGGUGCUAAAGGGUUUGCCUCGGCCCGUGGCGCUGGCCGGUGCUAAAGGGGACCCUUUAGCACCGGUUUGUAACACGGACCGGUGCUAAAGGGUCCCUGCCCCGACAGCACCUGUCAGUAGCCGUUGGGCAGGACCCUUUAGCACCGGUUCUUCUUACAAACCGGUGCUAAAGGGGUCUUUAAUCCCGGGCCGCAAAAAGGCCGAGGUUUUUGGCCAUUUUGGACAUCGACCAAUGCCUCAUUCUGUAGUAGUGUGGCCAAGGGCAAAGAUGUUUACAUGUGCUAAUGAUAUAUUAAUUAAGUUUAAUAAAUAUGUCUCGUAUUUUUAAACGAGCUAUGUAAUUUAUUUUUUAUUAAUAUCUAAAAAUCCGAUAUUUUUCGCACACAUCCAAUGCCAUAUCCAAUUUUUUUCGUAAACUAAACAAUUUUAGUUCUUAACGGGUUUCAAAGUCUCGAUAAAAAACAGAAUCCCACAAAAUAUGCUACAUUGUACUGGAUUUUUAACAUACAUAUACUGUUUGUUUCAUUGAAAUUUAAUUUAUGUUAAUUCUUAUGUUGAUUUAUUGUAGGAGGAAAACACUUUUCGUCCGUUGAAAAGUACUAAAAGGGCCAAUAUAAACCUUUAGAAUCCACCGUAAUUCAAACAACUAGUUUUGCUAUAAACUGUACAGCUGGUUCACCAUGUGAAGUGGAAAUGGAACGCUUGGCUGCAGGGUUUAUAUAAAGUUAUUGUGGAUUUUCAAAAACGGUGGGUAAAUACCUACCGGGGUGUGGUAGAAGGUCUCACGGGCCAUGACGACGUUAGUGUACCAUGGCAACUGGCUUCAGUCUCUGUCCAUCCUUGUAUUUCCUUGUCCACAUUUAUAACUAAUCUUGGAUAGGUCUGGGAUCGAAGUUUCUGCUUAGCCAUGUUUAGUCCGUAGAAGUCAAGUGAUAUUCUGUCACUUGUGAGAUGUAGAAAAUGUAUGGUCACAAUUAGCUAUAUUUGCUAUCAUGAAAAAGAACCAGGUUCAUAAUGAAUUGAGACCGAGCAGGAUGAUGAUAAGAAAGCAACAAGGCAUGGAGGUCUUGGGUGUGGACCUAUUCUCAUCUGUGUCGUUUAAGGACCCAUACGCUGUACAUCCUCUUGUCAUGUUAAACGCAUGCCUGACACUUAGUUGGUCGAAUAAGUUGUUCCGACCACGAAAUCGAGUAGUUCAACUCAGGCCAGAUACCCCGUUCUGUUGGAGUGCGCACCCGGUUGGUAGUAAGGAUGUACGGGGGUCAUUGACGUGAGUCCAAGGGUAGGUGGUCCUGAUUGUCCAACCCUAGGGGUGCGUGUCACAGAACCAACCAAAUUAUAAGAGUUCAAGUGUCGAAACGAUCGCCGAAGCAAUCAAGUUUCCAAACUUGAGCCCAUAUAAUCCCGGUAGUCAAACGAAAUCUUGAAGGAUUUUAAACAAACUUAGCAACAAACUAAGAUCGUAAUAAAUUCAGCCCAAUACAUCGAUUAUUACAACAGUUGAUACAAGGUCAGUGAAGCGACACACAUCACCAGUUCAUUAGUACAACCAGUGUCUCAUCACAUCCACCAAAAGCAAGUUAGGUACAAAGUCUUAGAGAACCAUGCCCAACAGUUAGUCCUCAUCCCCAGCAGGGUGAAGACAAGUCUUGCAGAAACCGUCAUAGAAUAUAUCAUCUACAACAAGUGGAAAUAAACCCUGAGUGUAAGAUUGUACCCAGCUAGACUUACUCCUCUAACCAGAAACAAUGGACACCAAGGAUCAUGCAAGGCUUACUUUAAAAAGUGGAGCUGUUGCAUAAAGAGCUUAAGUUGGCUACGUAAACCAUUCUUAUUAGCCUCAAGUUUAUUAUCAUUAACCUGCCACUAAAUUAGCACAUGUACUAAGCACUCACUUGAUUACAGCAAAUAGUAAUAACCAUAUCAGGUUUAACCAAUUAUUCAUUCUUGCCAUCAUCAUCAUCAUCAUCGUCAUCAUCAUCGUCAUCAUCAUCAACAUCAUCAUCAUCAUCAUUAUAGAACCAUUAAGUAUUUAGUGAAUGCUACGUUUGCCGCUACUCUGUCAAGUUCUCACUAUCCGGGAGAGACGGCGAUUUGAAUCAAUUCCUAUCCAGCUGGAGGGUUAUUUCUAGCACUCACUCAUGCAUCCCCAGUCGAAGAGCAAGCGGGUCACCUUUGGUAUGACUCAGGAAUCGCGGCUUCGAUCAGCACCGCACUCCCAGGGAUGCCACUCUGCCAGGACGAUCAGGACUUUUAAAUCACCUGCCCUUGGUCUUACAUGGCUCUCCGCACACUGCACUUCCUCCAGUAGUGCGCACUUUAUACUUGCCGGUGUUCCGGCCUGAGUCAUGGUACUAGGCUUCGCGGUCGGAAUGAGUUAUCUGGCCAACUAAGUGUCAGGCAUGCGUUCAACAUGACAAGAGGACAUACAACGAUCGGUCCUUAGCUGCCACAGACGAAGUUACUACCACUUUGCAAAACUUUGCCCGGCUUAAGUCAUUUUAGCCAGGUUCUUCCAUGAUAGCAAAUAUAGCCAACCGGGAUUGAUCAUCAGACCCUAUAGCUCGCAGGUGACAGGUCAUCAACCAACUUCUACCAGUUUAAGCAUGGCUUGGCUAGUACUCGAUCCUGACUCUAUACAAGGUUAAGGUAAGAUAUCUGGACAAGAAAUGAUAUAAUGCAGCAAGGGUUUUAUAACAACUCCUAUACGUAAUGCAGCAAUAGAAAUUAACAUAUUUACUCAUGCUUGGUAAAAUAAAUAGGAGACUCAUAAUGCUCCGGGGCUUACCUUUCACGAACGACCGCUGGCUCGUGACUCAGACACUCAACUUCUUCGUGCUCCUCGGGUCGUGCUGGCUGGGCCUCUGGCUCCUAGGUGUUCUCUUGGUCUUCUGGGUUCACCCUCUCGAUCUCGUACUGGGCUCUGACUUCCGAUGCACCUAUUGCAUGUAUGUGAAGUGAGUAAAGUAUGUAUGCAUACAAGGGAAUGAUGGAUGCAUUACAUGAUUACUAUCACAAACCCUCACUGGACACUUAUUUACGGAGUAAACUUCUCAACAAGUUUACACAAGAACACCACAAGACUUAGCAAAGAUACACACUAGCUACACCAACCAACAGCACUUCCUACUCAGCAAGGCAGCACAAAGAACAGAUCAUAUCUGGAGAUGUACAGACCCAACAAACAUGAAUUAAGACAUUCUGGAAAGCUUAUAAAAUUAUUUACAUUUCAUCGUUAGACACCUCAACAUGAUUCACAAGUUAAACAGGUCAAAUAAACAAAGUUCCAGGUUCUAUUCCAGACAAACAAAGAGCAUCCUCUUCUGACUUAGAACAGCUAUAACUUUUAAACCACUUGGCCCAAUGCCCCCAAAAUUUAACCACAGCUAUUGCAUAAAGUUUACAACAACUUUUGUAUAUACAAGUUCUCCAGAGAACAUACUUAACAUUAAGGAAUUACCAAAUUUAUCCCUUGCUGUCCAGAAAGGUUAAUUAGCCUUUAAUUAAUAAUUUACUAACAUGGCAAAGACAUAUUUAGUGUCAACCAAGUGAUUCACCAGAACACAUAUGAUUUAAGAUUACUAGAAAACCAUAUGUUACCUGCCAAAACAUUACUUAUAUAGCAUUUAUUAAUUUAUUUCCAUAAAAGAGCAUAAUUAAGAGACAUGAGCACAAGUACUCAAGAAAAUCUACAAAAAUUAAAGAAGCAUAUGCAUGGCACCUAAAUGUCACCAUAACAUUUUCAGGGAAAUUGCUCAGGCCAUACUUUAGAUAUCUAAUUAACAUGUGACAAGGUGCUUAUUACCAUAAAUUAAGAAACUUAGGUUAAACAGUGUCAAACAACAGAUUUCAGAUUAUUCUUAAGAUUCUAUUACAAUCAACAAAAAUCAAGCCAAAGGAGAGCACCAUCACAAGCAUGCAUUAUUUAUAAUGAUUUAUACAAGGAUUAAAGCAAUAAAAAAAGUAUAAAUUACAUACAAGUCAUACUGCAUCCAAAAAACAUUAAAUAUUUACCAGAGCAUACCACUACCAUAUAAAGCAUGCCAUAAAAUUUUCAGCACAUUUGGAGCCUUACACAGAAAGAUAUGAAUUUACUUUGAUUAAUAAAGAUUAAUUCAUAACAAUUAUUCUUCACAACAAACAUGGAAUAUUUUAUAUUUUUAAUAAAAACUAGCCAUCCCAGAGAAGAUCUCAAAAUUGGUUUCACAAAUUCUGGAGCUCAGGAACAGGAGUUCUGAAUUUUGCAAGAUUGAGCAAAAUCUAGAAAUUUGAAUAAAUGGAGAGGAUGGAAAUAGGGUCACUAAUAGCGGGGCCCGCGUGUCAGUGACACAAAGUGGAAAGGACACACUCGCCGGCAAACGCUCGCCUAUGGUGAGCUUCUCCGGCGCAUCCAAGGGCACCAGGGUGUCCCCUAAGUCCUUCCGCGUCGAUAGAGGUAGGUGGUGCGAGGGUUUGAGCAACAGAGCAAGGUGGUCGUCGGCCAUGGCGGAACGACGGGGCUAUCUCGGCUUACACCGGCCAUCUCCGGCCUGUAGAGUGUCGGAACGAGGCUGCCAGAGCAUCAACGAGAUAGUGCAGAGCUUCCUAGGUGGAAAGGCCUAACUCUACUGGCUUUGGUGAGCCUGCUCAAGUGCGGGGUGGUCGCCGGCGGUGAGCGCGGUGGCCGUGUUUCCGCUCGGUGGUGCCACCAUUGACGAUAGGAUGUGACAUAGAGCAAGAAGCAAACCUAAGUAAGCUCUAACGUGACUUAGAAGGAAGGAAGAGGGUAAGGAUAGAGCAGGGACGAGGUUCACCAGAGUAGGGGUUGUGACAGCCGUGAACUUGACAACGUUGAACUCGAGAAAUGUGGCUCACCUCGGUUCGAUCUCGAGCAACUGAGAGGUGGAGAAGAAGGAGGAGCUCGAGGUAGACUUAGUGAUGCUCGGAGAGGAGGCACGGAGCAAAGAAGGUGGUGCACGGAGCUCGUGAGACGCUCGACGUCAAUGGCGAUGACGUCGCUGCCGUUGGAGAGCACGAGAGAGAGGCAGAGCGAGUGGGAGUGGUGCGGGGCGAGUGCCGGUUGGCGUGGCGACCAUGAAGGCAUGGAGGACCUAACCAGUGGGGCUAGCAAUGGCAUACGGUCGCCAGAUUGCGGCCGAAGUCUGCCGCGGUCGGCCAGCACGCACGCCUGAAGAAUGCCAUCAGGGCUUUGAUCACCGACUGACAGAGCUAUUUCGACGAUGAUUAACUCCCAAUCCAGCGUGAAUUAGGAGAUGGUGUAGUUGACAAUCUUGGAGAACUAGACGAGAUCUACAACAUUGUCAACUAGGGCAAGAGAUAAAUCGGCCAGGAUGAAAAGAUAGAAAGCUCCAAUGAUCCUUCAAGCAAACUGUGUCGAGGAGAAGACUUAAAAUUUUUUCUAAGUGUCCAAACAGCACCCAAUAUCGAAUUGUGAGCCAUUUUUGAGCAUGUUGUGACCAUUUUCAUGAGAUAGCCCUAAAAUACCUUUUGUUCCUUACAAAGUUUUCUACAACUUUGCUUCAGAGGGUUCUGCCAUGCAAACAUUUGAUGAAGCACUUUUUAAAAGCCUAAGCAAAAGUGGUCUAGUGGGUCACCCUAGGCCAACCAUGACUUAGGAGCCUAAUUAGAGCAUGUGACCAACAUGAACAUUGAUCCCUAGGGCAUGUUAAACAUAAAUAAACUAUUUACUAAGCACAACAAGCAUAAAUUAGAUAGAAAAGCAUACAUAGCACAUGAAAUGAUAUGCUCCACAUGACAUGAUGCUCAUGAAAUGAGAUGAUGAUGAUUAUGCUCAUGUCAUGCAAGAGAUAGAAUGCAACCAUAACACUGGGGUGUUACAGCCCUCCCCCCUUACAAAAAACACAUCCCGAGAUUUGAAGAGCUUACUGGUUUUUUAGAAAGUUUUAUAAACAUCUCUCAGAUAGUCUUCCUGCUCCUAAGUAGCAUCUUCCUCUCCAUGGUUACUCCACAUAACCUUGUAGAGUUUUACCACGCGAUUAUGUGUUACCUGUUCCUUGCGAUCAAUGACCGCUACAUGUUUCUCUUCAUAAACCAAGUCUGAUUCUAACUUGAUAUCUCAAAUUUCCACUCUCUCCUCAGGGACUCGAAGGCAUUUCUUUAGUUGAGACACGUGGAAAACAGGAAAAAUAGCUCGCAGCUCAGUGGCAGUUGAACCUUGUAAGCUACCUUCCCUUUCUGUUCAAGAAUCCGAUAAGGUCCCACAUAGCGAGGUGCAAGCUUUCACUUGACUCCGAACCUUUGUACCCCUUUUUUCAGAGACACUUUGAGAUAAACAUGAUCCCCGACGACAAAAUCAAUCAGCUUUCUUCUCUUGUCAGCAUAACUCUUUUGUCAAGACUGAGCAGCUUCUAGAUGUUGCUGGAUUGUGUGGACUUGCUGCUCCACUUCAUUUACAAAAUCGAUGCCAUAAUACCUUCUUUCCCCUGGCUCUACCAAAUUCAACGGAGUUCUACACUUCCGACCAUAUAGGGCUUCAAAAGGAGCCAUCUUAAUGCUCUAUUGCUCUUGGUAACUAUUGUUAUAAGAGAACUCAGCUAAUGGCAACCAUUUUCCCAAGAACCCUUUGAAGAUAAAGCACAAGCCCUCAACAUAUCUUCCAAGAUUUGGUUAACACAUUCAGUUUGGCUGGCAGUUUGCAGAUGAUAAGUUGAACUUCAGACCAAAUGAGUACCUAUCUGCUUAUGAAGACACUCCCAAAAACGAGUAGUGAACUACGGUCCACAAUCAGAUAUGAUAGUGUGAGGUAUACCAUACUGACGGACAAUGUGCUCGAAAUACAACUCUGCAUAAUGAUGCAGACGAUACUCAGUUCGAACUAGGAUAAAACAAGCAACCUUGGUUAAAAGAUCAACAAUGACCCAAAUCGAGUUGUAACCCUUGACAGAAGGUGGAAGUCUAGAGAUAAAGUCCAUACUCACUUUCUUCCAUUUCCAACCAGGGAUCAGCAAGGGUUGAAGUAAACCUGCUUUCAUGUGAACCGCCUUCACACGUUAGUAGUUGUCGCAACAAGCAACAAAAGCAGCAAUUUCUUUGUUCAUUUUGUCCACCAAAAUAGAGGUUUUGGGUCUUGAUACAUCUUACUACUACCAGGAUGAAUAGAUAGCUUGGACGAAUGAGCUUCAAACAUAAUCUGAUUUUAGAGCUCAUGAUUCUUUGGUACAACAAGCCUAUUGAACCAUAGGAUUUUGUUCUCAUCAACCCAGAAAUGCUUGGUUUCUUCCUCUUUCAUCUUUCAUUUUAUGUGGUGGAUGCCUACAUCAGUCUACUGCAACUCAAUCACCUGAUUACGAAGAGAACUUUCCAGUGCAAUAUGGUGAAGUACCAUGGGAUGCAUAAGACAUGACAAAGGGGGAUCAUCAAUCCUAACCAAAUUGCAAUGCGACUUUUGACUCAAGGCAUCCGCCACCACAUUUGCCUUGCUUGGAUGGUAGUGCACUUGAAGAUUAUAAUCUUUGAUCAACUCAAGCCACCUUCGCUGUUGCAUGUUCAACCUAGGUUGAGUAAAGUUAUACUUGAGGCUCUUAUGAUCGGUGUAGAUAUUACACAAAUUACCUAAUAGAUAAUGCCUCUAGAUCUUCAAAGCAUGAACUACUGUGGCCAAUUCUAGAUCAUGAGUAGGGUAUUUGACCUCAUGCUUUCAAAGUUGGCGUGACACAUAGGCGAUAACUCAACCUUCUUGCAUAAGCACACAGCCUAGACCGAUACCGGAUGCAUCACAAAAGACAUUAAACGGCUUCUCGACAUCGGGUUGAGCUAAGACAGGAGAUGAUGUUAGCAAGGUUCUUAACUUGUGGAAUGCCUCUUCACACUCUGGUGUCCACAGGAACUUUUCAUCUUUCUGAAGCAAAUGAGUCAUAGGCUUGGAUAUUUUGGAAAAUUCCAGAAUGAAAUGACGGUAAUACCCAGCCAAACCUAGAAAACUCCACACCUCGUGCACUAAGGUCAGAACCUUACAAUCCAACACUUCUUACACCUUGGCCGAAUCAACCGAGAUUCCCUCUUCAGACAAGACAUGGCCCAAGAAAGGUACUUCCUUUAGCCAGAACACACACUUGCUAAACUUAGCAUAAAGCUGAUGCUCACGCAACCGAGUCAACACUAUACGUAGAUGCUCUGCAUGCUCCUCUCAUUACGAGAAUAUACUAGGAUAUCAUCAGUGAAGACCACCACAAACUUGUCCAAUUCGGGCAUAAAGACCGAAUUCAUGAGAUACAUGAAAUGCGUUGGUGCAUUGGUCAGACCGAAGGACAUAACGAGGUACUCAUACAACCCAUACCUCGUUGAGAAAGCCGUCUUGAGUACAUCUUUAGGAUGGAUCUUGAUCUGAUGGUACCCAGAUCGCAAAUCAAUCUUGGAGAACACCUUGGGUUUAGACAACUGAUCAAAUAGGAUAUCAAUCCGAGGAAGAGGGUACUUGUUCUUGAUAGUUACCACAUUGAGUGGACGAUAAUCCACACACAUGCGCAAGGAUUGAUCCUUCUUCUUCACAAAGAUAGCCGGACAACCCCAAAGAGAAGAACUAGGAUGGAUAAGAACCUUCUUCAACAACUCAUUCAACUAGGUCUUAAGCUUAGCUAGCUCAUUUGGCUGCAUUCUAUACGGUCUUCUAGAGAUAGGAGCAGUGCCUGGAAGCAAUUCAAUUUUAAACUCCGCAUCCUAGUUUAGAGGAAGCCUGGGCAAGUCAUCAAGAAACAUGUCCGGAAACUCACACACCACUAGAAUGUCCUCGAUGGCAAUAGAUGUUACUGCAUUCAUCGUGCUGUGGAUGUUAAUAUCGUGAGGAAGUUGUACUAUGAAUGCCUCCUUAGUACUACGAUCUCUCAACAUCACCACGCAAGUAGUGGUGUCAAUAAGAACCCCAUUACCACUCACCCACUUCAUUCCUAGAAUCACAUCUACACCCACACUAGGCAAGACAACCAAAUCAGCAAGAAACUAACGGUCUCAUAUUUCCAGAGUUGCCCCCUCUUGACGGUCGAUAACGUUAACUGUUAUUAGAACUUUAGACCCGAAAGAAAACAUGAAAACACAUUAGUCUAGUGUUUAAACUGACAAUUUCCAUUAGUUUUGCAUAUUCUGUAUUUUCCAGGGUCUAUUUCUAGAAAAGCUGAAAAGAGGGAUUCAAGUGCGAAAUAAACACAAAACUUAUCCGCCAUGAAAAGAUCACGAUUGGGACGUGGGAAAACUCUGGAAGACACCAAAAGAGCCGGGGGGCUAGAGGCCGCUAGGUGGGCCGGCCGGCCCCACCAUGGCGCCGGCCAGCGCCCCAACUCUAGGGUUUUCAGGCCCCCUUCUGGAAGCUUCCUCCACCGCCUAUGAAGAGUCGACUUGGCCCUUGGUUAAGUCGGUUUGAUCCUGUGGCACACGUCGAUCCCACCAGGCUAUAAAUAAAGGGGCAGACCCCCCUCCUUGGCGGCAUCAAGUCAUUUGGAGAUCAAUCCAUCAAGAGCCUUCUCUAGUUCAUCAGAGCCUCUCUAGUUCAUAGCUUUAGCCUAGUUAGAUUAGAAGUAGUAGAGUUCUAGUUCUUCAGCGGGAUCCAGAGCCCCUGGCGUCUGUUUGGAGCGCGGAGUUCAGUAUAUUUCUAGUACUUUUCUCUUAUUGUAUUCAAUAUUAUGACUCAGGCAACAUUGUUCUUAAUCUCUUAUAUAUUCUUAAUUGCAAUAGUCAUUGUCUACUUUGAGUAUAUGUCUAGGAUAGUUGGUUUGAUCUCAUUGAAUUCAUGUAAUUGCUCGUAUAGCGUUUACCUAAUUGAUCGUUGGGUAGAUGGUAGACAAUAUGUAGAUGUGCUGUCUAGAUAUCAUGUUUAUCUCUAAGUGCACCCUCACGUGCCGAGACGUGUGGUAGUGCACGCAAGUGACAACUGUGUUGGUUCCUCUGUAGUCCACCCUUUGUACGUAGGACUAGCAUGUGCAUGGUCGCGAAGGAGGUGACCCUUGUGUCUUAAUACCCUCAUUAGUUGAUGCCUCUUUACAUGUGAUUAUGAUAUAGGGUUAACUUAACAAUGAUUUCUAGAUAUAAUUGCACUAAUUAGAGUUAUUCAUUGAUGUAGUUAUUGAAUUACAUUAGUAUUUAUUCUUGAGUUUAUCCAUUGGCUAGCUAUUACUAUGACUAGAAGAGCUCUGAUAUUUAUCUAUUUAUGAUGACUAAUCAUUAUCUAUCUUAUAUCUUUUAUCAAGUGACUUAUCCCUGUUAUGAGUAGGAUUCUAGUUAUGGUUUAUCGUUCACAUCAAUAGUAUAAGUUAUAGUUAUAAGUCCUACAUAUAUACCGUCCCUGUGGAUACAAUAUUAAAACCUCCUGGUAAAAUGUGACAUUGGUACGUUAUAUGUGCACUUGCGGAUAAUCUUACUUAAAUCUUAUUUAAAAAGGAGUGUAGUUAAUUUAUACCAACAUGCAUUUUUGGCACCGUUGCCGGGGAAGGUAGCUAGGCAAUUAAGGAACAUUGACAGACUUAUACUCAGUUAUGUGAUCGAGAUAACCAUUAACCCCUGCUCAAGCAGGAUUACCCUUGUUUGUCUAUUUUUAUAUAUCAUGCAGGGUAAUAAACGACCUGUUUACAACCUUCCGGCAUGCCCCAACAAAAUAAGAAGAAACAUAACAAAUCCAAUAUUGGAGAAAGAGGUCGACGUCACAAGACUUGAAUUCAUAUCUCAAGUUAUGGGAACAAAGAUGUUGCAUCACUCACAAAUUCUAGAAUGUGAUUCAUGGUAAGUAUGAUAAAAUAAAGGUGAGAAUGUGUUGCUCAUGGACUUCAACAAUUAUGAUUAGUUAUCUUUUACAUUCCACUGCAUGUUUACAUUAAUCCAUAUAUUCACACUAUUUAGUUUAAAUUUCCUCACCCAUAACUUGUUCCAUUUCAUAUAUUCAUCUCACAUGCAUUAUAAAAAAAACUCACCAUGAUCAUGCUCUUUUAUCUCUAUCUGAAUAAAUCUCUACUAUAUUUUCAUGUUACCUUUAUUUGCUGUGGUAUAUGUUUAGGCUUUGAAGUACUUUCAUAAAUCUCUUAAAGGAAGCAUGGUGCUUAGUUUUGAGUGGUGGUUUUACUUUUAAAAGGCUUUUAAAUUGAGCUCAGAUUAAAAUGCCUUCCUAAGUCAAAUUAGACGUGGUGUCUAGGUUGAUUUUUGAGCCGAUAGUAUGUUGUAGUGGAUACUGGAUAUUUUGUCAGACUAACCCCUACAGGAAAAGUUUGAAUUAAAUCUGGGAAAGUCAAGAGAUAAGUUCACACCAGGGAUGAAUCAAGGCAAAUGAUAACUUUGCACAAAAAGUCCAACUUGUGAGUUGUAAUAUUUAUUCAUUUAUCUUUUGUUACAAGUUAUCUUUGCCCUCAACCAUGCUAGAUUGCAACAACAACAUAAAACACGAUAGACACAAUUUAUGCUAAAUAAUCUUAAACCAUAUAUCAUCUUGAUUAGCAUAAAAGAAAAUAAAAAAAGUAUGGACAACAAAACCCAUAUUUCAAUCUUGCUAUUCCCUCGGGUAUGUGUCUAUUAAUAUUUUGCAGGAAAGAACAACCUUAAUCUAUUGGAGAAGAAGUUUUCAAGUGAACAUUAUUGCAUCUCCAAUAGACCUAGCACAUCAACCACAAAUUUAUCAAAGAAAUCAAAAAAGUUGAUGAGUGAAGAGCAUGUAAUCUUCUAUAGUUUCAUUGAAUGGUGAAAAGGCGAAAAAGAUAAAAGGAAGGUCUUGCUCAGCAAGACCAUAAGCUCUCACCAACAAAUGAACCUAAACCCUCCUCUUCCAAGUAAGUUUGUCAUCACUUACUUAGAAAGAUGAAGAUAUGAGGUACGUUUGUCCAAGCAUCAUGCAACAUGUAACUACAAUUAACAUCUCAUACCAUGUUGCUAAUUUGUCUUGGUCAUUUCUACCCUACGCUAUGCUCAAACAUAACUUGCUAAUAUAUAUAUAAUAAAAUGCUCCUGUGGUUCACUAUACAUAUUCUUGGUUCUAUAUGAAUAAAUACCUUUAGUCUUGCAAACUUCCUGAUUCUAUUAUAAGUAUGCUUUAUAAUAUCACUUAAACAUUAUGAAUCAAGCAUACUUAUAUAAGAAUUUAGUUGUACAUAUAGACUAACCCCUCCUACUUAAAAAAUGUUUAAAUCAUAUUUGGAUACUAUUCAUAGAAUCAAUUCAAGGUUAAGGGUAUGCUUCAAAAUAAUAUCUUUGCUUUAACCUUGAUGAAAAAAUUGAAAUAGUAGUGAAUCAUUGAAAAUAUGAGCUAAAAUCAAUAUUUAACUCUUAGGCAAACACUAUCCAUACUUUGAUAAAUACUAUAUUUCUUCGGGUAUGUGUUCUCCACUAAACCCUUGUAGAAAAGACAUAAUGAGAGAAGCAAAAGGUCUAAAGAGUGAGAAAGGAGUACAACAUACGAGACAAGAUGCUAAUGAAUAACCCAUGAUACAAGAAAAAAAAAGAGAGACCAUUGAAAAUCAUUUACCCUUCAUCAUGCUCUAAUGGAGAUAACAUCUUAAGAUAAGUGGUCAGUAAUUUAUUCUUGAUCUUGGUUUGGAAUAAAUGAAAAUACAACCAUGUUAGAGUUACAACUUAAAUUGAUCAACCUGAUUAAAAUCAACAUGAUUUGUUCUUUGAGUUUGUUCAUAGCGCUAUUCUUGUAAUCUGAGUCUUAACCGAGUAAGCUAGAAAUACUUCGUAUAUUAUUCUUAAUAUAUUAUAAAGAUGAAUAGCCUUUCUAAUGCUUAAGUAUCUUUACUCUUUAUCUCACAAGUUCAAAUAUCAUAUUUAUACUUCUGGUCCUCUCACCCAUGAUAGGAAUGAACAAUAUGAAUAAUAUCAAUCUUAUUGUGCCCAAGGUUAGAGGAUAAUUAAAUUUCUAGUUCUGUUGGUGUUUUCCCACCAACAGAGCCCAUGCACUUGAUCUCUACCAUGUCUUUGUAGAUAGAACACACUUCAAUUAAAGUGUGAGGAGACAAUUGUAACACUGCUAGUGUUAGCUUGCAUGAUAACCAUGAGCAUUGCAUCAACAUAAGCAUCAUCAUGCUCAUUCAUAAGCACCAUAUUGUUGGGCAUUCUUAACGUCACUACCAAAAGUAGAUUUAGUUUUAUAAUUCUGAUAACGGCGCCAAAAAUGCCAAACCUAUCCCUCAUGCCACUUAAGCCAAGUUGUCACCCCAGCAUGACAUGAAAGAUGCGGUAUUGAAAUAUGCAAUUGCUCUUCUAAAUAAAUAAUAAAUGAGAUCUGCAAGCGCACAGAUUAAUACCGAUGUAGCAUUUUAACCGGGAAGUAUUCUAGGUAUCGUUAUUUUUAUUUUUACCACUGGGAAGGGAUUAGUAAUCAUCAAUGUUGAUUAUGGAAUGGAACAUAGAAUUGAGUAUCUAUCAUUGCAUGUAUAAUUGAGAGCAGUUAUCUAUCUCUUUCAUACAGGGAUAAGUGUCACAUAAAAGAUAUAUAAAGUAUGAAUGGUGACAAAGAUAAUUAAUCUGAUCAGCAUAACUUAGCCACAUAAUAAAUAUGAUAAGCACCUCAAUUAGAUAUUCUAACAAGUCAUUAGCAUGGAAUUAGGACAAACUAUAAGAAUAUUUCCUAAGUUAUUCUCAACUAUAUAGUCUAGCAUAUCAUAGUUAGUGCAAUUAUACUUGGCAAUCAUUGCGAGACAGGACUAUGCCCAUGCAUAAUGAUAUUAUCAAGGAAUAUGAGAAACAUCGCAAUCACUCCCCUGUAAUAAUGUUGCUCUGCCAGCCCUAUACACGAGAGGGGGACUCAUUGUUGGGUAUUUUUAACGUCAUUACCAAAAAUAGACUUAGUUUUCUAAUUCUGAUAACAACGCCAAAAAUGUCAAACCUAUCCCUCAUACCACUUAAGCCAAGUUGUCAUCCCCAGCAUGACAUGAGAGAUGCGGUAUUGAAAUAUGCAAUUGCUCAUCUCGAUAAAUAACAAAUGGGAUCUGCAAGCACACAGAUUAAUACCGAUGUAGCAUUUUAACUGGAUAGUAUUCCAGGUAUCGUUAUUUAUAUUUUUACCACUGGAAAGGGAUUAGUAAUCAUCAAUGUUGAUUAUAGAAUAGAAUAUAAGAUUGAGUAUCUAUCAUUGCAUGUAUAAUUGAGAAUAUUUAUCUAACUCUUUCAUACAGGGAUGAGUGUCACAUAAAGGAUAUAUAAAGUAAUGAAUAGUGACAAAGAUAAUUAAUCUGAUCAGCAUAACUUAGCCACAUAUAAAUAUGAUAAUCACCUCAAUUAGAUAUUCUAGCAAGUCAUUAGCACAGAAUUAGAACGAACUACAAGAAUAUUUCCUAAGUUAUUCUCAACUAUACAGCCUAGCAUAUCAUAUUUAGUGCAAUUAUACUUAGCAAUCAUUGUGAUACAGGACUACGCCCAUGCAUAGUGAUAUUAGCAAGGAAUAUGAGAAACAUCGUAAUCACUCCCCUGUAAUAAUGUUGCUCUGCCAGCCCAAUACACGAGAGGGGGACUAUAUAAGAAUCAAUGGAGCUGUCACUACCACAAACUACCCCACGAUCUGGCAUAUAGGGUACAAUCGCAGAUAAAUACGGUAUAAGCACCACGCCUACACAAUAUCUAUCAUUUUACCCAUGGAUCCGAUGGAUAAACGCUAUACAAUCCUAAAUAUGUAUAUAAAUCCAAUCUAACUAAGCCAAAUAUAUAACUAUGAUAAACUAAGAACAAUAUAAUUGUGAAUAUAAACAAGUAGAGCAAAGUCAUAAGAAAUACAUUGAAGUAGAACAAAGUCAUACUCAUAAUAUUGAAGAACAAAGAUGAACAAUUGAAGAACAAUAGAGAAUUACCAAGAAUCCUCCUGACAGAUCUGGAAACCAAUCGAAGAUUGACUCCUUCUAGUUCCAAUCCUAUUUAGCUAUGCUAAUCUAGAUGUCUAAUUGAUGUGGUUGCUCUAGGCUUGAUCAGAGGCUUCUUCUCCCUUGAUGAAUAAUGAAUUAGGGUUGAGAGGUCUCCUCCUCCAGGGGCCAGGGGGUCUGGUUUUAUAGUCCUUCCAAGUGAAUAUGGGCCGUCGGAUCAAACCGACAUUGAUUGAACGGUUAUCCUUGAUCCUUUAGGUCGGUGGAGCGUAAUCCCGAAAGAGAGUUCUGACUGGACUCUAACAGGGGGCGGGUGCCCUGGUCCCUAGGGCGGGCGCCCUGGGCCAGGCUCUGUUCUGCCUCCGCUUCGUUCCCGUGGCUUCUGGAGUCUUCUAGAUGUAACAUAAUUGCGUGGCACGUUAAUAUCUCUAUGUAAUCCCGACGUGUGGGCCUUUCUUCCAUAUUUCCUGAUAACCCCCUGCAGAAAUAGAGAAACACCAAAACUCGUGGAAUUCUGUCAGAUAAAACCCUAAUUAUAGAUGUUGAUUUCAUUUGGAUCCUUUUCUUUGUUUAUUUGUUAAUUAAAUUUGAUACUUAAGGACCGUCAACAAACUCCCCAAGCUUACCUCUUGCUCGUCCCUGAGCAAGGAUAGUCUCAGCGAUGGAUCAGAAGUUGUUGUAAUGCCUUUAAAAGUUGACGGUACACAUACUUUUAAAUAAGAUCUCAUCUCUGAGUUAGAGUAAACUGUCAAGACUUAAAACUUACUUACUUUACCUUUUACCAUGGGACUUGUAACCGUCUCUUCUGUCUUGAGUAGUUAAAAGAUAGAACGGUCGAAUCAAGUGCCAUGUCUCUUAUUCUUGAUCAGCUAUAGCUCUGAAGUUUUUGCAGAUUUUCAAAUAAAACUCAGAGAUUCCUUGUAUGACUCAGAUCUCUCUUUUGUGGUUUUUCUAGAUCCUUACCAAGGCAGUGAUGGUACAUGCCUUCUCUAAAAGUAUAUGGUAUUUGUGGUAUAAGGCAUAGUGACAUUGCCUUCUCUCUCACCCUACUCUAAUAAGGCUUUAAUAUCUAGAGCUCAUAGGUGGGAGAUACAUACUCACAAGACAUUUAUUGUAUAGUUAAACCAUGGAUCCAAAGAAACAAAUCAAUAAGUCAAAUCAAGAUGUGCAUGUGUGGCGAAUGAAUGGUGUAUGGUGAUGAUGGUGAUAACAAUGGUGAAAGUCUAAUUCUACUUUUGCUCUUUGAGGAGAUACAUACCUUCCUUGCUUUUUGAAACUUUGUGAUGAGAAUGAGAUGCUCUCUAUUUCAUUUUUCUUUUCUCUCAGGUGGGUAUCUUGUACCCUUAAUUCUACUGUCGGACACUUGUCCAUUUUUACCUCUCAUCUCACUUUUUCUUUUCUUUCGAGGUUCCGGGCACAUGCCCCUUUUUAUUUCCUGGUAUCUCUUUUUUUAGAGCACUCAUCUCAUGAAAUAAUAUAGCAAGUGGUAGUAACCAAGAUAAGUUGAGCAUUUAUUUCACAGGACAAAAAUAGAAAUGUUUUUGGCUAUUCUCUCCUGGAUUAGGAGUAAAAUAUUUUUGGGUGGUUCUAGAGAUGGAAAUGAGUGGAUAUAUGUGGAUGGUACUUCCGGAGUAGAAGCAGUAUGUGUGAGUGAACGUGCAAGUGAAUCUUGAUUUCACCACAUGACAAGCUCCUAAGGGUCUACACACCUUGACCACACUCAAUGCUCAUAAGUAGUAAAAAGUAAACGUGUGGCUCAAAGUCUAGCAAGCAUGUAUAUAUGGCUAUGGUAGGAAUUUAAACUCUCAUCAUACAGGAACUCAUCAUGCAAUAUUUUAAAAAUUUUCAAAGAUAAAAUUCUCUAGAAUUCUAGCAUCUCUACGAAAUGAUAAAUAGCAGCUCAACCUUCCCAUACCAUAUCCGUUAACAACUUAGACUUCAGAUCAAGUUUUCUUCCCACAAGUUUAGGUUUAGAGCAAGCUUUAAAUUAUAACAGUUAUGUCUAAACUAGAGAGCAAACUCAAAUUUGAAAAAUUAGGCAGAGCAACUAUUCAUCAUAUCCAUGCUAGAGUUUUAUUAUUAAGAUUCAGUUUAGCAUAGCGACUUUAUUUAUUUAUUAAACACACUAAGCAAAAGAUAUAUAUAUAUAUAUAUGCAUAAAAUCUUUAUUUGGUUUCCCAUAGUUAAGUAUUUUAAUAUAGUAUAAGUAUAAAGAUAGAUAGAAAUACUUAGCGGGAUAAAUGGGGGUGCUCUCCCCCAAGCUGAAUUUUGACGUAAUUUCUCUUGAUGUAGCUAGCAGGUGGCAGAGGUGUAUUUGAAAGUCGGCAGUAUCCUAACAGUGAUUAAAAUGUCCUCCGUUUGCUAGUCUUCUUGAUUCUUAAAUUCUGUGGAGCUCAAAUAGACAACAAAGCUUUUAGGAAAUGAUUAAGUGUUAGCAUAAAUAUCUAGCCUUCAUCAUGUUGAGCCUCCUCAAUAAAUGUAACUCUCUAUUUUUAUAUUUUUGUUUUAUAGAGCAGAAAAAAUAUUUAUUUUAUUUUUAUGCCACCACAGUGAAUGUACUUAUGCAUUUUAUGCCACUCGUAUACUCACAUGGGGCUUACUGUUUUUUUAACAUUUUUAUUUUCUUUUUAGGAUAGUAUGAACAUGAUUAACUAAGCAAACUGUUUUAAAUAAAGGAAAAGGAUAACUACCAAGUUUACCUCUUGGCAAGGCGUUCGGUGUUUUUAAGUCCUCCGAACGGGACUCUCCUGUAAUACCCAAUUUUAAGGACAAAACCAGAUAUGCACCAUAUGUGAGUCUUAUAAGUCGAAUCUCACAUAUAGCUACAAAUAAGAGGUAAUAUCAAAAGACAAUGCAUAAAUUAUAUAACGUACAUAAUAAAUUAGAGAUAACCUUAGGCAGCAAACAACGGAAGAUACUCCAAACUUCGGGUAUUAACUUCACUCUACAGGAUCCAACUAACUGGUUGAUCACAAGCCUAAACUCCUCCUGAGGUGUGGGGGAAAUAGCAAGAGUGAGUCCAUGUCGAACUCCACAAGUAUAGCAACUAGAUUGUAUAGCUCCCACAUCUCAUGAUCAAUGUGACAUAAAUUAUGUAAAGCAUUAAAUAAUAAAUAAUAGGCAUAUUUAACACACAAGAAUCAUCAUCGUCGAUGCAAGAAUCCCCAAGGCCGCUCCUGACCGUGAGCUCGGCUAGUAUACUAGUUUUUAACCCUCUGCAGAGGUUGCACAUCUUUACCCAUGAGUCAUGAUUUACCCUUUCGCCCGAGGUAGCUAGUCUCUUAACCCCCUUCCUAGGGAGGUCAGCAGGGAUCACUAUGAAGUCUUUCAAAGGAUCGUCUAACAAGUUAGGGCCGCUUGAUUUCAUUAGUCAGUCCGUGUGAUUCACCCGCAGGAAUCAACGGUCUGCUAUUCCCCAAUUGCGCCACAACGGGUAACCGCUAACGAGCUAGAAAAGUUACUCAUACUUAACUAAAGCCAGAGCCAUUAUAGCCCUCAUGGUUGCACUGUUGUCCCAGUUAUCACUUACAGAUAAAUCAUCAAGUGGCUAAAAAGUCAUUUUUAUCAUUUAUUACUUAACAUUAAUCUAGUCACAGGAUCAUGGUCACAUAAAUAAAAUCCAAAUGCUAUACUUGCCUCAAUCCAAAUACUCUUGCUGAUCUUGCUAGUUGCCCAAGGCUCUGAUCUUGAUCAAUGAAGUACUAUGGUUCACCACGAAUUGCUCACCGUCUAAUCCGAUCAUCGAUCACACAAAGCUACAACUUGAACAGUACACCAAUCAUAUAAAAACAGUAUGAAAAGUUUAUAAAAAGAUUCUACGCAUCGCUACGAUUUCAUAGACGUAAAGAUCACGAAAAUCAGAGCUAAAACGAAGAAGUUAUGAAUUUUCUAAGAUUUUAUAUAGAAAAGUAAUUAAUUAAUUAAAGUCACGUAAUUAAAAAGUUUCAAACUGAGUAAAUAAUUUUACUAACAUGUAGAGCUCAUGAUUAUGAACCUAACAUAAUUUGAAUGGACAAAAACGGAGUUAAAAUGAGUAUUUUAUAAGCAAAGCAGUUUCAGUGGCAAACUUGUAAAUUCAGAAAAGGUAUUUUAGUUCAAACCGGAUUGAGUUACGUUUUCAAGUCUGAAAGGCGUAUUUCACAAGGGCGCUUUGGACCGCGGGUUGAACUUUAAAUCUUCCAGGGACUCUUUAGCAAAAACGCGAAUGAAGAGGUAUGUUCUAUUGUGAGCCGUUGAAACUCGAUCUGAUGGUUCAGAAUACAUCGAGGAGAUGGGAGACCAACUGCCGGCGGCGCACAGGGGCUAUACAGUGGCUCCAUGGCCGGAAAAGCGCAGAGCUCGCCGGAGAUGGUGGAGAAGGCACUAGGAAGCUCGGUUUUCGACGGAAAAAGUUCCGGGAGCAAGAGAGGACCAUCGCGAACUCACCUAGGGUGCUAUCAGAGCUCGAGGAGAUCUCGGGGGAGGUGCGCGACGCAAAACUGCGGACGCCGAGUCCUCCUGCAGGUUCGGCGUUGAUUAGGGGUGGAUAGGGGCCAAAAGAGAGCGAAAGAAGUAGCGUGGUAACUUCGUUACCUAGUUGCGAGGCUCGGCAAAGGGUUUUCAUGAACCGAAGAGCAACGAGGAUUUGCACCGGCGACGGCGGCUCUUCUCUGCGCCUGGAGAGAUCCAAAUCAAGGAUUUCAGGUGGCUAAGCGGCUUGGGGUGCUGCACAGAUGGCAAAAGGGAGUCGUGGAAGAGGGCACGAAGCUUUAUAGCGACCUAGGGCGUAUAUUGGCAAAGAAUCCCGGGAAACCUGGGAUUGGGCACCGGGUUCGUGUCCUGCUCGGCCACGGCUCACGGUAGAAGAAAGGUAGGGAGGAGGAAGACACUGCCGCGUGGGGCCUAGUCGUCAGCGAGAGAGAGAGAGCGGGUCCCAGCUGACAGCGAAACAGAGGAAAGGAGGGGGGCGCGCCACUCGGGCCGAACGAGCUGGGCCGGGGUCCGAACAGAGGGAGGGUUUUGGUUUGUUUUUUCUUUUUCUUUUAUUCCAAAGCCAUUUGAAACUCAUUUAAAAAUCCUUUUAAAUUAUUUUGAAUUUUGAGUAAAAAAACACUCAGCACAAUAAAUAAAAUGCAGAAGCAUGAGUGCACAAAAAUGUUGCUACACCCUAUGAUAAAUUUUAUUUUGAUGAAGAUUAUUAUUUCCAUUGUUUCAUGAGCACAAAAAUUCAUAAUUAAAUUAUUUUAGCUCUAUUUUCCACAAAACAAUUUUUAGGGUGUUACAAAUCUACCCCCUUAAAAUGAAUCUCGUCCUCGAGAUUCGAAAGAGACACAGAUUCCUCUGAGAGAACACAGGAUAAAGAUCUUGAUAACUAUUUUAACUUCACAACUUGUAUUCCAGUGUAAACACUUAUGUCUCAAGAUCACAACUUGUGAACAAAACUUCCAUAAAAUAUCUAUUAUUCAUAGCUCAUUAAAAUCCAUCUUGACUACCAACUUUUUGACUUAUACAACUCAAAGACAUGAUAACUUAGCAUGGGUAUGCCUCCUCAGGUUGGAGUGGACCACCUUGAUACUCAAUUCUUUUCCCUGAUGGUGCAGUUAAGAAAAUUUUCCACUGGGUAGCAUAGAUCACUGCCUUAUGUGCACAUAACCAUCCAUUGCCAAGAACCAAAGGAAUAUUGAGUGACUCUAGCACAAUGAGGUUUACAGUGAAGUUUUCCUUCUUUAUGACAAGAUUGAUAUUUGAGCAAACCUGAUCUGCCUGUAUUUCUCCCAUUGGGGUUUGAACUAACAAAGGCUUUGUCGUCGGACACUUCACCCGUUCGAUUGUCUUUACCAAGUCGGCGGAUAUGAAAGAAUGCGAAGCACUUCGGUCAAACAGAGCAAAAACUAGUACUGAGUCCACUUGAAUAUAGCCUCCCACCACUUUGGUGGCUCCUUGAAUGUUAUGCCUAUCCACAUUGUUCAGUCUUCCAUUGAUAUAAUUUUGCUGUACUUUAUUUCCAGGAGCGGGCUUCUUACGAGCUUUCCUUUUACGCUUCCGCCGUUGUGGAUUUUGAUUUGAUUCAUUGUCAACUUGCUCUUCAAUAUUAUUAUUUUGAUAACACUCAGCUUUGUCAUACUCAUAGCAUCUUUCUUCAAAGGCAAAAUGAUCAUAUUCUUCCCACCUAUCCAUAAGAGGUAUCAUAUUGUGCUCCGGAUUCAUGGGACACUACACUCCCUGUCAUCAGGUGACCAACGUCAGUAACACGGCAAGGAUAGAUGAUCAUAACCAUAUAAUAUCUUAGAAGACAAUUAUCACUCCAAGCUAGUCUUAAAAUGCAUCACCCGUGAUAUCAAGGUACUACCCCCCUUAAAAUUAGAUUGAUUGGAGAGACAUUAGGGACUAGUCCUCAUAACCUUUUUAAAUGCUACACAUCAUAUAGUCUUUAAAAUUCGCUGUACCGAGUCUCUUGAUCCAUCCAACAUUAUCCAAUUCUUUUCCAUGUAACCCCCUUAUUUGGGCUACCCCCCUUAGUAAAAGUCAUCUAGGGGGCACAAGAAAGGUAGCUUGCAUGUUUUCCCGGCAGGUUAACUAACAUUGAGAACCUCUGACAUCCCAAAGAACUUAUGUGUAAGGGGAGAACAAACAGGUAUCCUGAAUUUUUCUCAUGAUAUGAAAACACUAGCGUAGUAUAAUACAUAUAACUCUUAUUCUGUCAAUCCAACAGAGUUAUAGCUUAUACCUUUAGAAAACUUAUGAAAUUCUCUACCACUUUCAUGUAGAAGACCUCCUUAGAUUCUUUCUUUAAACUUAGGUAAAACAACCAAACAUAAUCUCCUUCCUGAUAAUGUCUCAGCAAAGGUGCAGUAACUUCCAGAAGUUAUAUCCCGAGCUACUUAACUCAUCUGGAGAUGAUCCUUAUGUUUUUGAAAAGUUUAGGAAAUCCUCUACAACUUUCAUAUACAACAUUUUCCCAGAUUCUGAAGUUAAUUUGGCUGAAAUUAGAAAAAUGCCAGAUCUGUCUAAAUUUUGAAACAGAACAGGAACAUCCAAUUGUAAAUAUCAUAUCUCAGGUUCUACUUAUCCAAAUAAGUUCCAGCUUAUACCAUUGGAAAGAAUAGAAAAUUUUCUACAACUUUUCUAUAGAAUACUUUUCCAAAUUCUAUAGUUAUAUAUGUCUAAAAUAGUAAGCAACCGAAACUGGUCCAGGUUCUUGACAGCACAGUUGUAUCAUCUUGUGAUUUUUGUAACUUCCAAACCAUAAAAGCUAUGAGGAUGAUUCUUGUGGUCAGUGAAAUAUCUUGAAGUCUAUUUGUUCUCAGAAAAAUUUGAUAAACCUUGCAUGAUCAGAACUUGAGAUACACUAGCUUUAUUGCAGACUGCUCCAGAAAUCAGCAAGGGAUAGAAACAAGAGAUAGCCAAACCCAACUACUUAUUUCAUUGAUCCUUAUGCCUUAGGUCCAUAAACUAAUGAAGUUGUGGAGAAAUCCCACAAGAUCAUUGCAAUCAUUACAAAGAUCCAAAUCAAGCAUAAGCAUAAUAACAAACCAACUAAGCACACUUCACUCAAUUUGCGAUACGAUCGUUCUCUUCAUAGUAAGGGUAGAGAUCUUAAAACACCUAUGCCAAUGAUGCCAGAAGGUGGUAAGAAAAAGUUUUAAAAGCAUGUCAAGCAAGGAGUGGGGAUGAGAACAAGUCUUUAAAAUAAGCAACAAGGUAGAGAGGAAUAGCAAGGGUAGAGAUAUAGUAUGGAUGAAAAUACCAAGGUUUUUAGAGCAAGGAUUUUAUGAUAAUUCAAAACCUUAAGACGACCAAUUUCCAACUAGGCUUGCGUCCUACAGUCAGCAUUGCUCUGAUACCACUUUGUAAUACCUGAUUUUAAGGACAAAACCAGAUAUGCACCAUAUGUGAGUCUUAUAAGUCGAAUCUCACAUAUAGCUACAAAUAAGAGGUAAUAUCAAAAGACAAUGCAUAAAUUAUAUAACGUACAUAAUAAAUUAGAGAUAACCUUAGGCAGCAAACAACGGAAGAUACUCCAAACUUCGGGUAUUAACUUCACUCUACAGGAUCCAACUAACUGGUUGAUCACAAGCCUAAACUCCUCCUGAGGUGUGGGGGAAAUAGCAAGAGUGAGUCCAUGUCGAACUCCACAAGUAUAGCAACUAGAUUGUAUAGCUCCCACAUCUCAUGAUCAAUGUGACAUAAAUUAUGUAAAGCAUUAAAUAAUAAAUAAUAGGCAUAUUUAACACACAAGAAUCAUCAUCGUCGAUGCAAGAAUCCCCAAGGCCGCUCCUGACCGUGAGCUCGGCUAGUAUACUAGUUUUUAACCCUCUGCAGAGGUUGCACAUCUUCACCCAUGAGUCAUGAUUUACCCUUUCGCCCGAGGUAGCAAGUCUCUUAACCCCCUUCCUAGGGAGGUCGGCAGGGAUCACUAUGAAGUCUUUCAAAGGUUCGUCUAACAAGUUAGGGCCGCUUGGUUUCAUUAGUCAGUCCGUGUGAUUCACCCACAGGAAUCCACGGUCUGCUAUUCCCCAAUUGCGCCACAACGGGUAACCGCUAACGAGCUAGAAAAGUUACUCAUACUUAACUAAAGCCAGAGCCAUUAUAGCCCUCAUGGUUGCACUGUUAUCCCGGUUAUCACUUACAGAUAAAUCAUCAAGUGGCUAAAAAGUCAUUUUUAUCAUUUAUUACUUAACAUUAAUCUAGUCACAGGAUCAUGGUCACAGAAAUAAAAUCCAAAUGCUAUACUUGCCUCAAUCCAAAUACUCUUGCUGAUCUUGCUAGUUGCCCAAGGCUCUGAUCUUGAUCGAUGAAGUACUCUGGUUCACCACGAAUUGCUCACCGUCUAAUUCGAUCAUCGAUCACACAAACAAUCGAAGAAAACAUACACGAAGCAAACAAAGCUACAAUUAGAACAGUACACCAAUUAUAUAAAAACAGUAUGAAAAGUUUAUAAAAAUAUUCUACGCAUCGCUACGAUUUCAUAGACGUAAAGAUCACGAAAAUAGGAGCUAAAACGAAGAAGUUAUGAAUUUUCUAAGAUUUUAUAUAGAAAAGUAAUUAAUUAAUUAAAGUCACAUAAUUAAAAAGUUUCAAACUGAGUAAAUAAUUUUACUAACAUGUAGAGCUCAUGAUUAUGAACCUAACGCAAUUUGAAUGGACAAAAACGGAGUUAAAAUGAGUAUUUUAUAAGCAAAGCAGUUUCAGUGGCAAACUUGUAAAUUCAGAAAACGUAUUUUAGUUCAAACCUCAUUGAGUUACGUUUUCAAGUCUGAAAGGCGUAUUUCACAAGGGCGCUUUGGACCGCGGGUUGAACUUUAAAUCUUCCGGGGACUCUUUAGCAAAAAUGCGAAUGAAGGGGUAUGUUCUAUUGUGAGCCGUUGAAACUCGAUCUGAUGGUUUAGAAUACAUCCAGGAGAUGGGAGACCAACUGCCGGCGGCGCACAGGGGCUAUACGGUGGCUCCAUGGCCGGAAAAGCACAGAGCUCGCCGGAGAUGGUGGAGAAGGCACUAGGAAGCUCGGUUUUCGACGGGAAAAGUUCCGGGAGCAAGAGAGGACCAUCGCGAACUCACCUAGGGUGCUAUCGGAGCUCGAGGAGAUCUCGGGGGAGGCGCGCGACACAAAACCGCAGACGGCGAGUCCUCCUGCAGGUUCAGCAUUGAUUAGGGGCGGAUAGCGGCCAAAAGAGAGCGAAGGAAGUAGCGUGGUAACUUCGUUACCUAGUUGCGAGGCUCGGCAAAUGGUUUUCAUGAACCGGAGAGCAACGAGGAUCGGCACCGGCGACGGCGGCUCUUCUCUGCGCCUGGAGAGAUCCAAAUCAAGGAUUUCAGGCGGCUAAGCAGCUCGGGGUGUUGCACAGAUGGCAAAAGGGAGUCGCGAAAGAGGGCACGAAGCUUUAUAGCGACCUAGGGCGUAUAUUGGCAAAGAAUCCCGGGAAACCUGGGAUUGGGCACCGGGUUCGUGUCCUGCUCGGCCACGGCUCACGGUAGAAGAAAGGUAGGGAGGAGGAAGACACUGCCGCGUGGGGCCUAGUCGUCAGCGAGAGAGAGUGAGCGGGUCCCAGCUGACAGCGAAACAGAGGAAAGGAGGGGGGGCGCGCCACUCGGGCCGAACAAGCUGGGCCGGGGUCCGAACAGAGGGAGGGUUUUGGUUUGUUUUUUUUUUCUUUUUCUUUUAUUCCAAAGCCAUUUGAAACUCAUUAAAAAUCCUUUUAAAUUAUUUUGAAUUUUGAGUAAAAAAACACUCAGCACAAUAAAUAAAAUGUAGAAGCAUAAGUGCACAAAAAUGUUGCUACACCCUAUGAUAAAUUUUAUUUUGAUGAAGAUUAUUAUUUCCAUUGUUUCAUUGUUGACGGUCCUUAAGUAUCAAAUUUAAUAAUCAAAUAAAUAAAGAAAAGGAUCCAAAUGAAAUCAAGAUCUAGACUUAGGGUUUUAUCUGAUAGAAUUCCAUGAGUUUUGGUGUUUUCCUAUUUCUGCACGGGGUUAUCAGGAAAUAUGGAAGAAAGGCCCACAUGUCGGGAUUACGUAAAGAUAUUAACGUGUCGCGCAAUUAUCUUACAUCUAGAAGACUCCAGAAGCCACGAGACCGAAGCGGAGGCGAAACGGGGCCAGAGGCAGGGUGCCCGCCCUGUCCUACUGGGCGCCCGCCCCCUCCAGGAGUCCAAUCAGGACUCUGCUUCGCGGGAGAUCUCCACCGACCUAAAGGAUGAAUCUAAACCAUACAAUCUAUGUCGGUUUGAUCCAAUGGCCCAUAUUCACUUGAAGGGACUAUAAAACCAGACCCCCUGGCCCCUGUGGAGAGAGCCUCUCAACCCUAAUUCAUUGUUCCAUCAAGGGAGAAGAAGCCUCUGAUCAAGAUUAGAGCCACCACAUCAAUUAGAUAUCUAGAUUAGCAUAGCUACAUAGGAUUAGAACUAGAAGGAGUCAAUCUUCGAUUGGUUUCCGGAUCUGUCAAGAGGAUUCUUGGUAAUUCUCUAAUUGUGCUUCUAAUUGCUUUCUAAUUAUCUUUGUUCUUCAAUAUUAUGAAUAUGACUUUGUUCUACUUCAAUAUAUUGCUUAUGAAUUUGCUCUACUUGUUUAUAUUCAAGAUUAUAUUGUUCUUAGUUUAUCAUAGUUAUAUACUUGGCUUAGUUAGAUUCGAUCUAUAUACAUGCUUAGGAUCGUAUAGCGUUUAUCCAUCGGAUCCAUGGGUAAAUGAUAGAUAUUGUGUAGGCGUGGUGCUUAUACCGUAUUUAUCUGCGAUUGUACCCAAUAUGCCAGAUCGUGGGGUGGUUCGUGAUAGUGACAGCUUCAUUGAUUCUUAUAUAGUCCCCCUCUCGUGUAUUGGGCUGGCAGAGCAACAUUAUUACAGGGGAGUGAUUGCUAUGUUUCUCAUAUUCCUUGCUAAUAUCACUAUGCAUGGGCGUAGUCUUGUCUCGCAAUGAUUGCUAAGUAUGCUUGCACUAACUAUGAUAUGCUAGACUAUAUAGUUAAGAAUAACUUAGGGAAUAUUCUUGUAGUUCGUUCUAAUACCAUGCUAAUGACUUUCUAGAGUAUCUAAUUGAGGUGCUUAUCAUAUUUAUUAUGUGGCUAGAUCAGAUUAGUUAUCCUUGUCACUAUUAUUAUUUCAUAUAUCUUUUAUGUGACACUUAUCCCUGUAUCAAGAGUUAGAUAUAAUGUUCUCAAUUAUACAUGCAAUGAUAGAUGCUCAAUCUCAUAUUCUAUUCUGUAAUCAAUAGUGAUGAUUGCUAAUCCCUUCCCAGUGGUAAAAAUAUAAAUAACGAUACCUGGAAUACUUCCCGGUUAAAAUGCUGCAUCGGUAUUAAUCUGUGCGUUUGCAGAUCCCAUUCAUUAUUUAUUUAGAAGAGCAAUUGCAUAUUUCAAUACCGCGUCUCUUAUAUCAUGCUGGGGAUGACAACUUGGCUUAAGUGGUGUGAGGGAUAGGUUUGGCAUUUUUGGCAUCGUUGCUAGAUUUAGAGAACUUAGUCUACUUUUGGUAAUGAUGUUAAGAAUACCCAACAUUCAUGAGCACAAAAAUUCAUAAUUAAAUUAUUUUAGCUCUAUUUUCCACAAAACAAUUUUUAGGGUGUUACAUCUCCGUUCUAGUUGUCCUGGGAUUCGUUGGGUGGUGUAGUCGGUGCUUCCGGCAGCGCCUCCUCUUCAUGUAUUGUUAUCUUCUCUUUCCACACCUGACUCGGUGCUACGGUCUCCUCUGGAUAAUUCUAUUUAAACUGUAUGUCUUCUGACCUCACCACUUCUCCUUCAUAGUCUGCCCAUCUGUCCUUGAUGAUUUGCCUCCUCUGGUUGCGGUUGCGUCGUUUUCUGACCUGCUUAGAGUCUUCAACGAUAUAGUUAGGGUCAGUAAAAUAGCGGCGUACCAUCACAACCGGAAGGAUUAGAAUCUGCAAAUCUUGUAGACAUGUUUGAUGCAGGUAAUUGGAGUAACCCCGUCACUGAAUUCUCUACUGACCUUCUGCCGGUCAAGAGAGGCGAUCCAGGACGCCCCGUCAUCCCGAUCUCUAUCGGCAUGGUGGACGUUCCAGAAGCACUCUGCGACUUUGGCUCUAGCGUCAACAUUAUACCCAGGGUACUCUAUGAAAAAUUCUUUACAUAUCCUUUAUUAGAAACAACCAUGUGUUUGCAGUUUGCAGAUCAGACGAUAACUUUUCCAAAAGGAAUAGUGAAGAACCUUUGUGUCCGAGUUGGUACCUUAUAUGCCCCAGCAGACUUCGUAGUGGUAGAGACCGGAAAUGAUGAGAGAGCACCUAUCAUCCUAGGGAGGCCAUUCUUGAACACCACGGGAGCUAUCAUCUACGCCAGUGCUGCCAAGAUCAGUUUCUACGUCAAAGGGAACAAGGAGACAUUUUUCUUCAAGAACAAGACUACACAAAUUCAAGAUCAAUCCAGACGUAAAUCAAGGAAGAGGACCAACAGGAGAAACAAGAACAAGCAAGUGUGGACUGAGUCAGCUAAGAUGGUCACUGUAGUCCAUGGAGGCCAAGAUCACCAACUUAAGUCACCGUUUUUGACCAAGAAGGACGACCCAGGAAUGCCAAGCAUUUACUGCUCCAUAAAUGGAUACAACUUCUACAAGACAUUUUGUGACACCGGAUCGGGCGUCAACAUAAUAGCCGCAGUCACCUAUCGGCUCUUAUUCGGAACCAUGCCACUAAAACCAACAUACAUUCAACUCCAGAUGGCAGAUCAGACAUUUCGAGAAGUUAAAGGAACAGUAACGGAUGUCCCAAUCAAAAUAGACGAUCACUUUGUCUACACAGACUUUCAAGUUAUUGACAUGGGAGAAGACGAGUACGAUCCACCCAUCAUCCUUGGAAGACCGUUCCUCAGCACCGUUAAAGCAAUUAUCUACAUUGGAACCGGAGAAGUUCAUAUGCACUUCCCCUCAGAGAAGGUACGCCGUUAUUUUACUGACCCUAACUAUAUCAUUGAAGAAUCUAACCAGGUAAGAAAGAGAAGCAACCGCAACCAGAGGAGGCAGAUCAUCAAGGACGGAUGGGCAGACUAUGAAGGAGAAGUUAUAAGAUCAGAAGACGUUGAGUUUAAACAGAAUUAUCCAGAGGAGAUUGAAGCACCGAGUCAGGUAUGGAAAAUGAAGAUAACUAUACAUGAAGAGGAGGCACUGCCGGAAGUACCGACUACGCCACCCAACGAACCUCAGGACGAUUAAGAAAAUGGAGAGUCCCGUUCGGAGGACUUAAAAACACCGAACGCCUUGCCAAGAGGUAAACUUGGUAGUUAUCCUUUCCCUUUCAAUUAUUUCAAUUAUUUUAAAUAGUUUACUUAGUUAAUUAUGUUCGUAUUAUCCUAAAAAGAAAAUAAAAAAUGUGAAAAACAGUAAGCCCCAUGAGAGUAGACGAGUGGCAUAAAACCCAUAAGUACAUUCACUGUGGUGGCAUAAAAAUAAAAUAACUAUUUUUCUGCUCUAUAAAAACAAAAAUAUAAAAACAGGGAGUAAAAUUUAUUAAGGAGUCUCAAGAUAAUAAAGGCUAGAUAUUUAUGCUAACACUUAAUCAGUUCCACAAGCUUUGUUGUCUAUUUGAACUCCACAGAAUUUAAGAGUCAAGAAGACUAGCAGACGGAGGACAUUCUAAUCGCUGUCAGAAUGCUGCUGACUUUCAAAUACACCUCUGCCACCUGCUAGCUACAUCAAGAGAAAUUACGUCAAAAUUCAGCUUGGGGGAGAGCACCCCCAUUUAUCUCGAUAAGUAUUUCUAUCUAUCUUUAUACUUAUUUUAGAAUAUAAAUACACAUAAACUAUGAAAAACCAAAUAAAGAUUUUAUGCUUAUAUAUAUAUAUGUCUUUUGCUUAGUGUGUUUAAUAAAUAAAUAAAUAAAGUGGCUAUGCUAAUCUGUAUCUAAAUAAAACUUGAGCAUGGAUAUGAUAAAUAGUUGCUCUGCCUAAUUUGCACAUUUUAAGUUCUCUCUCAAGUUUAGAUAUAACUGUUAUAAUUUAAGGCUUGCUCUAGACCUAAACUUGUGGGAUGAAAACUUGAUCUAAAGUCUAAGUUGUUAAUGGAUAUGAUAUGGGAAGGUUGAGCUGCUGUUUAUCUGUUCCUAGAGAUGCUAGAAUUCUGGAGAAUUUUAUCUUUGAAAAUUUUUAAAAUGUUGCAUGAUGAGUUCCUGUAUGAUGAGAGUUUAAAUUCCUACCACAGCCAUAUAUAUACAUGCUUGCUAGACUUUGAGCCACACAUUUACUAUUUACUGCUUAUGAGCAUUGAGUGUGGUCAAGCUGUGUAGACCCUUAGGAGCUUGUCAUGUGGUUAAAUCAAGAUUUCACUUGCACGUUCACUCAUGCAUGCUACUUCUACUCCAGAAGUACCAUCCACAUAUAUCCAUCCAUUUCCAUCUCCAGAAUCACCCAAAAAUAUUCUACUCCUAAUCCGGGAGAGAAUAACCAAAAAUAUUUUUGUUUUCCCCUUGUGAAAUAAAUGCUCAAGUUAUCUUGUUACUACCACUUGCUAUAUUAUCUCAAGAGAUGAAUGCUCUGAAAAAAAAAGAAAGAAAAAGAUACGAGGAAAUAAAAAGGAGCAAGUGCUCGGAACCUCGAAAGAAAAGAAAAAAAAAGUGAGACGAGAGGUAAAAAUGGACAAGUGUCCGACAGUAGAAUUAGGGGUGCAAGAUACCCACCGGAGAGAAAAGAAAAAGAAGAGCAUCUCAUUCUCCUCAUAAAAUUUCAAAAAAGCAAGGAAGGUAUGUAUCCCCUCAAAGAGCAAAGUAGAAUUAGACAUCCACCACCAUUGUUCUCACCAUUGUUGUCACCAUCAUCACCAUAUACCAUUCAUUCGCCACACAUGCACAUCUAGAUUUGGCUUAUUGAUUUGUUUCUUUGGAUCCAUGGUUUGAUUAUGCAAUAAAUAUCUUGUAAGUAUGUAUACUUUAUCUCCCACCUAUGAGCUCCAGAUAUAAAAGCCUUAUUAGAGUAGGGUGAGAGAGAAGACAAUGUCAUUAUGCUUCAUACCACAAAUACCACAUAUUUUGAGAGAAGGCAUAUACCAUCACUGCCUUGGUAAGGAUCUAGAAAUACCACAAAAGAGAGAUCCGAGAGAAUCAUACAAGGAAUCUCUAAGUUUUAUUUGAAAAUCUGCAAAAACCCCAAAGCUAUAGCUGAUCAAGAAUAAGAGAAAUGGCACUUGGCUAGACUGUUCUAUCUUUUAACCUCUCAAGACAGAAGUGACGGUUACAAGUCCCAUGGUGUAGGUAAAGUAAGUAAGUUUUAAGUCUUGACAGUUUACUCUAACUCAGAGAUGAGAUCUUAUUUAAAAGCAUGUGUACCGUCAAAAUUUUUAAAGAUAUUGCAACAACUUAUGAUCCAUAGCUGAGUCUAUCCUUGCUCAGGGACGAGCAAGAGGUAAGCUUGGGGGAGUUUGUUGACAGUCCUUAAGUAUCAAAUUUAAUUAUCAAAUAAAUAAAGAAAAGGAUCCAAAUGAAAUCAAGAUCUAGACUUAGGGUUUUAUCUGAUAGAAUUCCACGAGUUUUGGUGUUUGUCUAUUUCUGCAGGGGGUUAUCAGGAAAUAUGGAAGAAAGGCCCACAUGUCGGGAUUACGUAAAGAUAUUAACGUGCCGCGCAAUUAUCUUACAUCUAGAAGACUCCAGAAGCCACGAGACCGAAGCGGAGGCGAAACGGGGCUAGAGGCAGGGCGCCCGCCCUGUCCUACUGGGCGCCCGCCCCCUCCAGGAGUCCAAUCAGGACUCUGCUUCGCGGGAGAUCUCUACCGACCUAAAGGAUGAAUCUAAACCAUACAAUCUAUGUCGGUUUGAUCCAACGACCCAUAUUCACUUGAAGGGACUAUAAAACCAGACCCCCUGGCCCCUGGAGGAGAGAGCCUCUCAACCCUAAUUCAUUGUUCCAUCAAGAGAGAAGAAGCCUCUGAUCAAGAUUAGAGCCACCACAUCAAUUAGAUAUCUAGAUUAGCAUAGCUACAUAGGAUUAGAACUAGAAGGAGUCAAUCUUCGAUUGGUUUCCGGAUCUGUCAAGAGGAUUCUUGGUAAUUCUCUAAUUGUGCUUCUAAUUGCUUUCUAAUUAUCUUUGUUCUUCAAUAUUAUGAAUAUGACUUUGUUCUAAUUCAAUAUAUUGCUUAUGACUUUGCUCUACUUGUUUAUAUUCAAGAUUAUAUUGUUCUUAGUUUAUCAUAGUUAUGUACUUGGCUUAGUUAGAUUCGAUCAAUAUACGUGCUUAGGAUCGUAUAGCGUUUAUCCAUCGGAUCCAUGGGUAAAUGAUAGAUAUUGUGUAGGCGUGGUGCUUAUACCGUAUUUAUCUGCGAUUGUACCCAAUAUGCCAGAUCGUGGGGUGGUUCGUGAUAGUGACAGCUUCAUUGAUUCUUAUAUAGUCCCCCUCUCGUGUAUUGGGCUGGCACAGCAAUAUUAUUACAGGGGAGUGAUUGCUAUGUUUCUCAUAUUCCUUGCUAAUAUCACUAUGCAUGGGCGUAGUCUUGUCUCGCAAUGAUUGCUAAGUAUACUUGCACUAACUAUGAUAUGGUAGACUAUAUAGUUAAGAAUAACUUAGGGAAUAUUCUUGUAGUUCGUUCUAAUACCAUGCUAAUGACUUUCUAUAGUAUCUAAUUGAGGUGCUUAUCAUAUUUAUUAUGUGGCUAGAUCAGAUUAGUUAUCCUUGUCACUAUUAUUAUUUCAUAUAUCUUUUAUGUGACACUUAUCCCUGUAUGAAGAGUUAGAUAUAAUGUUCUCAAUUAUACAUGCAAUGAUAGAUGCUCAAUCUCAUAUUUUAUUCUGUAAUCAAUAGUGAUGAUUGCUAAUCCCUUCCCAGUGGUAAAAAUAUAAAUAACGAUACCUGGAAUACUUCCCGGUUAAAAUGCUGCAUCGGUAUUAAUCUGUGCGCUUGCAGAUGCCAUUCAUUAUUUAUUUAGAAGAGCAAUUGCAUAUUUCAAUACCGCGUCUCUUAUAUCAUGCUGGGGAUGACAACUGGCUUAAGUGGUGUGAGGGAUAGGUUUGGCAUUUUUGGCAUCGUUGCUAGAUUUAGAGAACUUAGUCUACUUUUGGUAAUGAUGUUAAGAAUACCCAACAUUCAUGAGCACAAAAAUUCAUAAUUAAAUUAUUUUAGCUCUAUUUUCCACAAAACAAUUUUUAGGGUGUUACAUCUCCGUUCUAGUUGUCCUGGGAUUCGUUGGGUGGUGUAGUCGGUGCUUCCGGCAGCGCCUCCUCUUCAUGUAUAGUUAUCUUCUCUUUCCACACCUGACUCGGUGCUACGGUCUCCUCUGGAUAAUUCUAUUUAAACUGUAUUUCUUCUGACCUCACCACUUCUCCUUCAUAGUUUGCCCAUCCGUCCUUGAUGAUUUGCCUCCUCUGGUUGCGGUUGCGUCGUUUUCUGACCUGCUUAGAGUCUUCAACGAUAUAGUUAGGGUCAGUAAAAUAGCGGCGCACCUUCUCUUAGGGGAAGUGCAUGUGGACUUCUCCAGUUCCAAUGUAGAUCAUUGCUUUAACGGUGCUAAGGAACGGUCUUCCAAGGAUGAUGGGUGGAUCAUAUUCGUCUUCUCCCAUGUCAAUAACCUAAAAGUCUGUGUAGACGAAAUGAUCGUCUAUUUUGACAGGGACAUCAGUUACUAUACCUUUAACCUCUCAAAAUGUCUGAUCUACCAUCUGGAGCUGAAUGUAUGUUAGUUUUAAGGGCAUGGUUCCGAACAAGAGCCGAUAGGUGACUGCGGCCAUUAUGUUGACGCCCGAUCCGGUGUCGCAAAACGUCUUGUAGAAGUUGUAUCAGUUUAUGGAGAAAUAGAUGCUUGGAAUUCCUGGGUCGUCCUUUUUGGUCAGAAACGGUGACUUAAGUCGAUGAUCUUGACCUUCAUGAACUGCAGUGACCAUCUUAGCUGGCUCGGUCCACAUUUGCUUGUUCCUGUUCCUCCUGUUGGUCCUCUUCCUUGGUUCAUGUCGGGAUUGCUCUGAGAUUUGUGUAGUCUUGUUCUUGAAGGAAAACGUCUCCUUCAUCCCUUUGAUGUAGAAACUGAUCUUGGCAGCACUAGCAUAUAUGACAGCUCCCGAGGUGUUCAAGAAUGGCCUUCCUAAGAUGAUGGGUGCCCUCUCAUCAUUACCGGUCUCUAUCACCACGAAGUCUGCUGGGGCGUACAAGGUACCAAAUCGGACACAAUGGUUCCUCAAUAUUCCUUUUGGAAAACUUAAUGCCUGAUCUGCAAACUGCAAACACAUGGUUGUUUCUAAUAAAGGAUAUGUAAAGAAUUUUUCAUAGAGUACCCUGGGCAUAAUGUUGACACUAGAGCCAAAGUCGCAGAGUGCUUCUGGGAAGUCCACCAUGUCGAUUGAGAUCGGGAUGACGGGGCGUCCUGGAUCGCCUCUCUUGACCGGCAGAAGGUCAGUAGUAACUUCAGGGACGGGGUUACUCCAGUAGUUACCUGCUUCAAACAUGUCUACAAGAUUUGUAGAUUCUAAUCCUUCCAGUUGUGAUGGUAUACCGGGGUUAGUAGUAGGAACAGCAUCGGCUAUUUGAUUUAACUGAGAUUCAAUCAUCUUAUUAAAGCUAAUUUGAUUCUUGAUAGCAGUAGCGAAAUUAUCCAUUCUAUUAUUUAUAUUUUCUAGCAUUUUAUCAUUAGAUGCCAAUUUCUUAGAUAGGUUAUCUAUUAGCUUUCCUUGAUUAGACACUAACUCUCUCAGCGGUGAAAAAUUAUUAUUAUUGUUGUAAGAAUUGUUACCUUGAUAAUUUCCUGAGUAGUUAGGCCUCUGUUGAUUCCAACCAUGAUUUUGUUGAGGACGAUUGUAGUUGUUGUUGUUAUUGUUGAUGUAGUUUACAUCCUCAAGUAUCUUAGGGCAGUGAUUGCCUGAGUGUCCAGUAUCUCCACACUCCUCACAAGUCCUGUGAGAGUCGUAGAUGUGCAUAACUUCUUUGUUAUCUCCAGCUCUAUCAUCGAGCUUCUUCAUGAGCGGGUCCAGCUUUGGUUGGACGCCAUCUUCUCCACAAGAGCUGUGGCUUGUGAUAUGGUGAGUGAUAGGAAUGCUCCUCCAGAUGCAACAUCCAUGGUCUCUCAGGCACUGUUGCUGAGCCCAUGAUAAAACGUCUACGUCAGUAGCCAACUCUCCGUUCCAUGAUGGGGACAUUCUAGGAUGUAGUCUUGGAAGCGCUCCCAUGCUUCUGUAACGGUUUCAUCAUGUUGUUGCUGAAAACUCGUAAUCUUCCCACGGAGAGCAUUGGUCUUGCCCAUGGGAAAGAACUGUUGACACCGUUUUUUGACACGUAUCUCUGGGUACGUAUAUAGAGUUAAUGAAGCGUAGAUCGGUAGAUUGGGCGAUGGUGGCUAGUCUGUAGGGAAGUUGCCGAUGGAGGAUGGUGCCGAUAGAGGAACAACUCAGUAUGGCUAAGUCCAGGAGUGGUGAUGCCGAUGACCAGUGCUGGUAUUUACCGAUGGAGGCAACAGGCAGUCUGCCGAUGACUCUGAAGAUAAAUGCGGAAGUUACCGAUUGAAUCGUGGCGGUGUCCCGGUCGGUUACGGGGGAUAGUUUAAUGUUUUCCUUAGUUAUUAGAAUUCGUUUUGUGUACGGUUUCCGUUUAAUUUGGAAUUUGAGUCCUAGUCGUGUCUGGUUGUAAUUCUUCGGACAGGGUAUAAAUGUAGACCCUAGGGCAAUGUAAUGAGACAAUCUAUCAAUCAAUCAAACACAAGUUUUUAAUCAUAUUCCAACAUCUACUUUUUCGAUGACUUCGUCAUAUUUUCUUUUUACUACGAGUUCUUAGGAAUUCGUCGAGUCAAACUCGGCGUGUUCUCAAGUUCCACGUGAUCACCUCUUGACCGUGGCAUCCGGGCGUAUCGCUGUUGUCGGGACCAAAGUGGUCGAGUUACCACCUUUGUCGAUUGUAAGGUCAAAUCGGCUGGCACGCCUUAACAUUUGAAUCAGGUAUUAGCCCUUUGUGUUUGCAGAUUACUUUUGCACCAACACAUUUUUUGGCACGCCCAGUAGGACCUAUUCAAGAUCAAGAUCAACAUGUCGAACACCAAUUUCGACUUGGAGAACGUUAUCCCAGUGACGGAAGCCAAUCUCAGAGAUGAGCAGAAGCAAGCUAUGGCAAAAGCCAUGGAGGAGUACAAGCAGCAAUGCUUGAAUGCUUCAGUAUCAACAGGAGUGGCGAGGUGAUCCAAAAGGAAGCAUUACGGGCACCUCGGCAGAUUACUUUUGAAGCCAAUCCUGGUAAACUUCAAGACAUAGUUGACAAUGCUAUUAACCGUGCCUUGAUCAAUCAAGCUGGUGUGCUGUCCAACACGGUUUUCAAUGCCAUGGCCAGUACUUUCAAGGAAGGACAAUUGCCACCGAAUUAUGUUGGUCCUGCCUAUCAUCAGCCAGGGUCAUCAUUGGUCACGGCUCCAUCGGCUACUACAGCCGUUGCGGGUACAGAAGUUACUUCUCCUCUAAGCACAUUAGGGAUCACUAAUGCGCAAUCUACACCAAUGAUGACCAAUCCAUCAACAUCAGACGAGUCAAUCAAGCUUGCUACAGCUCUAUUGGCAUCGGCAAUGUCAGGUUCUGUUCCUCCUAACUGGUGGGGUAAUGGCAUGCCCCCAAAUUUGAUGGCAAAGACUCCUGGGAAAUCUCAUGUGGCUGAUUUGACAGGCAAGGCUCCUAUGACAUCGGCACCUCCAAAUCCGCCAAUGAAUCAGAGUCCCCAAUAUACUACAACUACUACUGCAAGACCUUACACUGGGAAUUCUCAAGCUCCAAUGUUCUAGAUGCCUAAUGCAUCGGCGGAUUCAAUGCCGACGCAACAGAGGUUUAUGACACAACUAGGGUAUGUCAAUUCAAUGAUGAUGCCCAAUUAUCAGUCAUCGGCAGGGCUUAUGCCGAUGAAUGCUAACAGUGGAUGGACAGGACAGUUAGUCUUUCCACAGACACCUCAACAGAGUCACCAAGCUGCAGGGUUUCAACAAGGCCAAAUCCAACCUAGGUUUCAAAAUCCAGGGUUGGCCAACCGGCCGAUGAAUCUUGGUCAGCAGAUUGGUGGUCAGAUGAUUAACCCCAUGUUCCAUGUAGAUCGUGCACCCCAGAGACACGUGGAAGCAUAUCAGCAGGUGCCAGAUCCGCAACCGCCUCAUCGGCAAGAUGCCGAUGCCUACUGGGCCGAUAAGAUAGCUGAAGUAAUGAGAGACCAAUUUGGGAUAAAGCCCAAAGUCAACACUUACUCUUAUCGGACACCGUAUCCUCCUGCAUACGAUUUAAUUCCACUUCCAAAUCGGUACAAGGUACCAGAUUUCACUAAGUUUUCUGGACAGGAUGAUACAUCGACUAUGGAGCAUGUCAACAGGUUCAUCAUUCAAUGUGGGGAAGCUGCUAACAGAGAUGAAUUAAGGGUUCGUCUGUUUUCAUCAUCUUUGUCUGGAUCGGCUUUUACCUGGUUUAUUUCAUUACCUCCCAACUCAGUAAUUCAUGGGCCGAUCUAGAGAAGCAAUUCCAUAAAUAUUUCUUUUCUGGGGUCCACGAAAAGAAGAUCACCAAUUUAGUCAGGUUAAAGCAACGCAAUGAUGAAUCGGUGGAAAGCUUUGUGCAGAGGUUGCGAGAAGUUAAGAAUAAGUGCUAUAGUCUGGUUCUGGAUGAUCGGCAGCUAGCCAAUUUUGCUUUCCAGGGAUUGUUGACACAUAUCAGAGACAAAUAUGCUUCUCAGGAGUUCGAGAGUCUGAGUCAUUUGGUACAGAGGAUUUCUGACCAAGACAUUAAGCCUUUUGAACCCAAAAGGGCAUGGAAUAAAAAGGUGUCAUUUGUCGAUGAGGCAGCAAGCUCAGAUUCUGACGAGGAACCGGUCAUCGGCUUGGCGGAGUGGGUGAAAAAUAAGAAGCUGAUGUCUUGCCCUUUUGGGCAUAAACAGCCGGAAAAGUUUGCAUUUGACAUCACCAAGGCCGAUAGAAUAUUUGAUUUUUUACUUCAGGAAGGGCAGAUCAAGUUGUCACCCAAUCAUGUGGUUCCAUCGGCUGAAGAGUUAAAAAAGAUGAAAUACUACAAGUGGCACAAUGCGACAUCUCAUAGUACAAAUGAAUGUAAGGUUUUCAGGCAACAGCUGCAAUCGGCUAUAGAGUCUGGGAGGAUCAAAUUUGAUAAUUCUAAAGCUCAGAAGCCGAUGAAGAUCGACCAACAUCCUUUCCCAACAAAUAUUUUCGAUGCUAAGGGAAAAAACAAGGUCUUGACGUUAGAGGCAGCUGAAAGAAGUGCAUCGGUGGAUCCUCAGCAUCAGAUUACUCCUGCUGAUGCCAAAGGAAAGGGUUUGAUCCAAGAAGGAGCUAGCUCAGGAAGGCCUCCCCGAUCUGGCAUUGUGAUAACUCGUAGAAGGCAUCAGGAAACUUGGCAGCAACGUGAAGAUCGGUAUAGGCGCCAACAGGAGGAUUACCAUUGGGAAGAAGAAAGACGCCGACAGGAGUGGAAUCGGCAUAAGGAUCACUGGAAUUGCCCGUUUUUUAUCCACUGUUGGGAACAGAACAUCAAGUUGCCCACUGUUAGGGACUGCCCUGAAUGCAAUGGUUAUGAUCGGUAUGAUAGACCUAAUCGGCAGUAUCAGAACGAUGAUCGGCGAUUUAUUGAGCCGAUUAGGGGAAGAGCCUCAGUUCAUGAUCGGCUGGGGGGCAGGCUCAGAGUGCAUGAUAGACUUGGUGACCGUGUUGAGUACUUUCCCAAGAACCAAGAGGAGCUUGAAGAAAUGGCAAAUGCUCGAGUUCCCGAUGAGUUCAUAUUUUGCAGAGAUGCCAAUACCUAUCGAGUGGAAUCAAGGGAAAGUCGUCGCCCAUCGGCAAGGCAGCCACAGCUUCCUCCAUGGUGUCAAGUAGGAUUGAGUAGGACACAGAAAAGAAGGUUGCAACGCAAAAGAUGAGAAGAGCUAAGCAAAAGCGAGAAUUCUGGCCAAUCUGGAGAUCAGCAGCAACUAGAUCCUAAGGGAAAAGGGCCAUUGGCAGAUGUUAACAUGGUAUUUAUAUUGCCGAUGGAGUUCCUUGCGCCAUCCAGUGAUGAUGAGGAGCUGGAUUUUUCUGACUAGAUAGCUUAGUUGGCUCUGGAUCCAAUGACAGCUAUCUUCGAAAAGCCUGCCGAUAAUGAAAGGUGUUGGGUAUUCUUAACAUCAUUACCAAAAGUAGACGUAGUUUUCUAAUUCUGAUAACGGUGCCAAAAAUACCAAACCUAUCACUCAUACCACUUAAGCCAAGUUGUCAUCCCCAGCAUGACAUGAGAGACACGGUAUUGAAAUAUGCAAUUGCUCUUCUAAAUAAAUAAUGAAUGGGAUCUGCAAGCGCACAGAUUAAUACCGAUGUAGCAUUUUAACCGGGAAGUAUACUAUGUAUCGUUAUUUAUAUUUUUACCACUGGGAAGGGAUUAGCAACCAUCAAUAUUGAUUAUAGAAUAGAAGAUGAGAUUGAGUAUCUAUCAUUGCAUGUAUAAUUGAGAACAUUUAUCUAAUUCUUUCAUACAGGGGUAAGUGUCACAUAAAGGAUAUAAAGUAACCAAUAGUGACAAAGAUAAUUAAUCUGAUCAGCAUAACUUAGCCACAUAUAAAUAUGAUAAGCACCUCAAUUAGAUAUUCGAGAAAGUCAUUAGCAUGGAAUUAGAAUGAACUACAUGAAUAUUUCCUAAGUUAUUCUCAACUAUAUAGUCUAGCAUUAUCAUAGUUAGUGCAAGCAUACUUAGCAAUCAUUGCGAGACAAGACUACGCCCAUACAUAGUAAUAUUAUCAAGAUAAAUGAGAAACAUAGCAAUCACUCCCCUGUAAUAAUGUUGCUCUGCCAGCCUAAUACACGAGAGGGGGACUAUAUAAGUGUCACACCCGGUUUUAAAGAACAAAACUAAGCAAGCCAUAUGUGUGCCCAGAAAGUCCACACAUAUAACAACAGAAAGGAAUAGUAUCAUAAAACAAUGUUAUAUAGCGAAAACAUACAUAUAAUAGACACUUACAUCAGAGUAUCGCGGAAUGAUAACUAAUCUUUAGGCUCAAUCUUCACAGGGACGGUUGAGUGAGGGUAACAUAUGCCUAGCACUUCUUGUAUCCUGAGAACAUCUUUCUUGACUCCAUCCUUCUAAUCAACUCUUUCUAGUGGACUGGAGUGGUGGGAAAUAGCAAGAGUGAGCACAUAUCGUACUCAACAAGUAUAACCAGGGGUUCAUGAGGCUCAAAAAGCUGACACUGGUUUGACUGCAUUUAGCUUUUAAUAGUGGAUAGCAUAUUCAUAAUUAAAUAUCAAUUGUCAAGGUAGCAUAAAUAAUCCAUUAAUCCCAUGAUCAAGUGUAAGCAUAAUUAAUCUCAUAGCAUAAACGAUAAUCAAAUGAACAUAACAACUUAAUAAGCUCAUCGUCGGCGCAGCAAGAACCCCAAGGCCGCUCAUAACCGUGAGCACGGCUAGUAUACUAGUUUUAACACUCUGCAGAGGUUGUACAUCUUUACCCAUGAGUCAUGAUUUACCCUUUCGCCCGAGGUAGCUAAUCUCUUAACCCCCUUCCUAGGGAGGUCGGCAGGGAUCACUAUGAAGCCUUUCAAAAGUUCGUCUAACAUGUUAGGGCCGCAAGGUUUCCUUUGCGAGCAGAUAUAGAUACCCCCUUCCGAAUGGCACAAUAACGCGCAGCCUAUACACAUAGGGACAGGGGCUCGCACUAUACCCGUGUCGGUUCAGCCCCUCCGCCCUUUCGGGUAACCUCUAACAAGCUAGAAAAGGUCUCCAUACUGAGCUAAAGCCAGAGCCAUUAUAGCCCUCAUGGUUGCACUGUUGUCCCGGUGAUCACUUACAGACAAGAUCUCAUAUAGUUAUUUGUCAUCUUCUAACGUUCAUUGCAUAGCUAUUAAUCAUCUUACAAGAUCAUGGAUUAUAUCAAGCACUAGCACAUCUACAACAAAUGCAUAUCAAGUAGGUAGCAAGGAAUACAGGUUACAAUCAUCUAUGAUUUUGCUAAGGUCGACAAGGUGAUAGCAUGCAUAUGACAUAUAUGUGUAGUUAUAAGUGAAUAGGUAACAAGGAUGAUCCCAAGUUAUACUUGCCUUAAACUUGCUCAAAUUCUCACACCAUGAGCCUUCGGUCAUCAUCUUCUGAUCAUCAUCACCCAUAAACGGAUCUCGUCUACUCGUAGCAAGCACCACACAAAGGCAAACAUAUAAACAACAAAUAGAACAACUAAGAACAAUACACCAUAUAAGAUAAAAGAGCGUACUAAAAGAGAAUCAACGCUACAAGAUCGCAAGAAGCACCGGAACAUAGCUUAUCGCUAAAAGAAAUGAUUAACGAUAGUUUUAUAUUAUGAAAGAGAAGUUUACAAAUUUGAUUUAUUUAAGUAAAUAAAAUAAUGUAAAAGUUAUGAAUUCAGAUUAAUGUUAACAUAUUUAUUUUCAAAAGUCAAGUUAAAACUAAUCAUAUUUUAUUUGUACAUAAUUUUAUAUUGUUUAUACCGGUUGAACUUUAACUUGUAAAAUAAUGUAACAUGUGAGCACUAAAAUAAGUUUUAUGGUAUAUAUCAUAAUUAUCUAAACAAGAUAUAAUUAAAGCAUAUUCAAGUUGCUAUUAGCUAAAUUCAUGCUCAUAUAAUUACAAAGGAAACCUAUAUUAUUUUUAAUUAUAAAACUAACUAAAAGCAUAUUAAGCAAUUAAAUAUUUAGCAAUAUACGGAAAACAUGUGACAUGAAAAACACUAGCACUAACACGUAGAUUACAUUGCUAUGAGUCUAACACAACUUGAACGGAUCAAAUCGGAGUUAAAAUAAAUAUUUUAUGGCUAAAACAAACUAGUGUAUUUUCUUUGUAUUUUUGGAUUUAUUUUUCUAAAGAAAAAGGGCAAUCAUGCUUGCUUGACUUCAUGAUGAUGUCAUCAAGCUAUUUGGAAUAGGCACAGCACGCACGGCCGGGCUAAUCUACACUGCUUGUUCGCAUGGAGUUCGACGGAGUAGGGAUUUGGGUCUCGGUUUCACGUGAGAAAAAAAACAAGGAUGUAGAAGGUCCAUGAACUCACCAUACUUUAUGCAGAUAGCGAGGGAUCGGAGGCGGAGUGGAACAGCGACGGCGUGUGGAUCUGGAGGUGGACGGCAGCUUCUGCAGUACCGAGUUCGGCAAAACGACGGCGGCGCCCUUGAUCCAAAGAUCGGCGAGGGAUGGACGACAGCACAGGGGCUCCCCACAGCAGAUACGAUGAUGGCAGCUUUGACCUCGCGUCGGCGAGAUUGGAAACGGCGGCUUGCAUCAUGAUUGAUUGGCCUAGAUUUAGAUUUAAGUGAUAGAAAAGAAACGCUUGCCCAAACUUGCUAUUUAUAGGCUAGCAGAUCAUUGGCUAGGAUGUCGUGGAGAGUUCAAGUGGGACACAAGACGUUGGAUAGCUGAUUCACGUAAAUAGAGUAAAAAUAAGAUUUGUCCAAGGCAUAGAGGCUCAUAGAUAGAUUGAAAUUUGAAGAACCCAAAUAAAUUAUUUAGAGUUCAUAAAAAGAUAUCUAGGAGUAUCUUAAAAAUUAUACUCAGAUUCAAGAGGAAAUAAAUUUUAGGAAAAUGCUGAAGUAAUUCCUGAUAAGUUUCAAUAGUUCGGUUGAUGGAAGAUGUACUCAAAAGAAUGAUUUAGAGUAGAAGAAUAGGAUCCGGAGCAUCUCCAUAUGAAAAGAUUAAGACUGGGAACGUAGAGAUUUGAAUGACUUACUAAACGCAUUCUAAAACUUUACCCACUCAAAACACAGAGUCAAGCAACAAGCAAGCAUCACAUCACAUCACAAAAACCCGUCAAAUUAAAUUGGAAAAAUUUAUGGAUUCACAUAUUUCCUAUAACUAAUUGAUGCUAUUUUCAACUAACUUUGGAAAUUUUAUCAAUUAUCAAAACAUUUAUUUUAAUUAGUGUUUUCUAUGCACAACCCAAAAUUAAAAAAUUUUGGGGUGUGACAAUAAGAAUCAAUGAAGCUGUCACUAUCACAAAGUACCCCACGAUCUGGCAUAUUGGGUACAAUCGCAGAUAAAUACGGUAUAAGCACCACGCCUACACAAUAUCUAUCAUUUAUCUAUGGAUCCGAUGGAUAAACGCUAUACGAUCCUAAACAUGUAUAUAGAUCCAAUCUAACUAAGCCAAGUAUAUAACUAUGAUAAACUAAGAACAAUAUAAUCUUGAAUAUAAGCAAGUAGAGCAAAGUCAUAAGCAAUAUAUUAAAGUAGAACAAAGUCAUAUUCAUAAUAUUGAAGAACAAAGAUGAACAAUUAGAAGAACAAUUAGAGAAUUACCAAGAAUCCUCUUGACAGAUCCGGAAACAAAUCGAAGAUUGACUCCUUCUAGUUCUAAUCCAAUGUAGCUAUGCUAAUCUAGAUGUCUAAUUGAUGUGGUGGCUCUAAUCUUGAUCAGAGGCUUCUUCUCCCUUGAGGAAUAAUGAAUUAGGGUUGAGAGGCUCUCUCCUCCAGGGGCCAGGGGGUCUGGUUUUAUAGUCCAUUCAAGUGAAUAUGGGCUAUUGGAUCAAACCGACAUUGAUUGAAUGGUUAUCCAUGAUCCUUUAGGUCGGUGGAGAUCUUUCUCGAAACAGUGUCCUCACUGGAGUCCAACAAGGGGCGGGCGCCCAGGUCAACUGGGCGGGCGCCCAGUGCCUGGCUCCGUUCGGCCUCCGCUUCCUUCCCGUGGCUUUUGGAGUCUUCUUGAUGUAAGAUAAUUGGGCGGCACGUUAAUAUCUCUAUGUAAUCCCGAUGUGUGGGCCUUUCUUCCAUAUUUCCUGAUAACCCCCUACAAAAAUAGACAAACACCAAAACUCGUAGAAUUCUGUCAGAUAAAACCCUAAGUUUGGAUGUUGAUUGCAUUUGGAUCCUUUUCUUUGUUUAUUUGUUAAUUAAAUUUGAUACUUAAGGACCAUCAACAAACUCCCCCAAGCUUACCUCUUGCUCGUCCCUGAGCAAGGAUAAUCUCAGCGAUGGAUCAGAAGUUGUUGUAAUGCCUUUAAAAGUAGAUGGUACUCAUGCUUUUAAAUAAGAUCUCAUCUCUGAGUUAGAGUAAACUGUCAAGAAUUAAAACUUAUUUACUUUACCUUUCACCAUGGGAUUUGUAACCAUUACUUCUGUCUUGAGUAGUUAAAAGAUAGAACAGUCUAGUCAAGUGCCAUGUCUCUUAUUCUUGAUCAGCUAUAGCUCUGGAGUUUUUGCAAAUUUUCAAAUAAAACUCAGAGAUUUCUUGUAUGAUUCUCUCAUAUCUCUCUUUUGUGGUAUUUCUAGAUCCUUACCAAGACAGUGAUGGUAUAUGCCUUUUCUCUCAAAGUAUGUAGUAUUUGUGGUAUAAGGCAUAGUGAUAUUGUCUUCUCUCUCAUCCUACUCUAAUAAGGCUUUUGAUAUCUAGAGCUUAUAGGUGGGAGAUAAAAUAUACAUACUUACAAGACAUUUAUUGUAUAGUCAAACCAUGGAUCCAAAGAAACAAAUCAAUAAGUCAAAUCAAGAUGUGCAUGUGUGGCGAAUGAAUGGCAUAUAGUGAUGAUGAUAACAAUGGUGAAAGUCUAAUUCUACUUUUUCUCUUUGAGGGGAUACAUACCUUUCUUGCUCUUUUGAACUUUUUGAGGAGAAUGAGAUGCUCUAUAUUUCAUUUUUCUUUCCUCUUAGGUGGGUAUCUUGUACCCCUAAUUCUACCAUCGGACACUUGUCCAUUUUUACCUAUCGUCUCACUUUUUCUUUUCUUUCGAGGUUCCGGGCGCUUGCCCCUUUUUAUUUCCUCGUAUCUUUUUUCCCUUUUUUUAGAGCACUCAUCUCUUGAGAUAAUAUAGCAAGUGGUAGUAACAAGAUAACUUGAGCAUUUAUUUCACGGGGGAAAACAAAAAUAUUUUUGGCCAUUCUCUCCCGGAUUAGGAGUAGAAUGUUUUUGGGUGGUUCUGGAGAUAAAAAUGAGUGGAUAUAUGUGGAUGGUACUUCUGGAGUAGAAGCGGCAUGUGUGAGUGAACGUGCAAGUGAAUCUUGAUUUAACCACAUGACAAGCUCCUAAGGGUCUACACAGCUUGACCACACUCAAUGCUUAUAAGCAGUAAAAAGUAAAUGUGUGGCUCAAAGUCUAGCA